AAAGAAAUGAUAGAGCAGUUUAAUCAGGUCAACAGAUGGAGAAAAAGAGGCAUUUCACGGGUCCCAAUUGUUUAUGAAGUGGUGGUAAGACCAACCCCUGGCAAAGUUAGCAUACUUUGGGAUGGAACUAUUGUUGUAGAAGUAGGAGGAAUAGAAUUAGGCCAGGGGCUCUGGACUAAGGUAAGACAGAUAACUGCGUAUGCUCUCAGUUCAAUUGGAUGUAAUGGGACUGAAAACCUAGUGGAAAAGGUACGGGUUAUACAGUCAGACACUUUAAGUUUAGUACAGGGGGGUCUGACUGCUGGCAGCACGACAUCAGAAUCGAGCUGUGAAGCUGUCAGAUUAUGCUGCAACAUCUUAGUUGAAAGACUAGCUCUUCUUAAAAGUAAGUUGCAGGAGCAAAUGGGUCCUGUUAACUGGGAUGUCCUGAUUCUCCAGGUAUCUUUCCUCACUCUGUCACAUGCUUUUCCUGGCCUAACCAUUUUAUAACUUGAGAUGUGCAGCUGAUCAAAGCUUCUUUGUUAGUCAAGUUUGGUGUCUUUCCCAAUAUCCGUUUGCCAUUUUGAUCUUCUUUAUUUGAAGAUAUAUGUUUUGCCUUGUGUUUACCGCAAUAACUAGUUCAAUCCUACCAAUCAAAUUCUUCUAACAAAAAUUUUCCAUUUUGGGAUUUAAUAAUAAGUUCUUUAUUUGUCAAGUUAUCAGCCAAAAAAAAAAUUGGUCUACUUUCUGAAAUUAUGUGCCGUUUGAGACACCAAGACAGGUUUGACUGUUUGCUUGUCAAAGAUUAAUACUUCAUAUUGCAGAUAAAUCAUAGUUAACUCACAAAAUCUGUAUUGAUAUGCUAUAUUUCCUUAUGUUUAAAGGUAGUUAAAUACGUUCAAAGAUAAUUUAAUCUUCCCCCGUCAGACAAUUGAAUAUAAUCCAGUGUCUUAAUGGUCUUUGUUACUUGCCAUAGAAUGAAGGUAUUUUCUUUCUGUCCUCAUUCCCUUUCUGGCCUCUUCUUUUCCAACCUGCCCAUUCUUUGAAAUUAAAAAUAAAAAGGGAUAGAAAAACAACUUUUUUAGCUUCUUUAUUCAACCUGCUACACAAUAAUUGGAUGCACUAUUGUUUCAUAAAUGGGUGUAACUUCUUCCUUACAUUUCUUGUGUGGGGUUUCGUUUGACUGUAGGCACAUUCUCAAUCUGUGAACAUGGCUGCGAGUUCUUACUUUGUUCCCCAAUCCAAUUUCAUGCAUUAUUUGAACUAUGGCACUGCAGUUAGUGAGGUAAAUUUGCUCCUUUCCGCCUUAUCUCUAUGAGACCAUGAGAGGAAGUGUGAUGUUACCUUAUAAUCUUUUCAUUGAACUGCUUAAGUGAUGCGAAUUUCAGUGAUGCAUUGUUUUGAUUGAGUGACAUACUACGACAUUGGCAAAAUUAUGAAAUAGGCAUCUUAUGUGGUCUCAUUCUCAAAAUAAGGGUAUGAAAUGAUGAAGCUGUUUUUAUUGCAGGUAGAGGUGAAUAUACUGACAGGAGAAACUAAAAUUUUGCAAUCCGAUAUUAUCUAUGAUUCUGGACAGAGCAUGAACCCUGCAGUGGAUUUGGGACAGGUUAGUGAUUUGUUCCAUCAUACUUGUCAAAUUCUACAGAAAGUAUCCAUAUCUAUGUUUAACUUUAUAGCAAAUUCAAAGUAGCUGUAAAUUUAUGAAGCAAGGUGAGCUUAUAGAUAGUGAUAUCAUUGUGUACUGCAAUUUUGUUCUUACAGAUAGAAGGAUCCUUUGUUCAAGGAAUUGGAUUCUUUAUGCUCGAGGAGUUCCUCACCAAUGCAGACGGUUUAACAAUUACAGAUAGCACAUGGACAUACAAAAUCCCAACAAUAGACACCAUACCAAUGCAGCUGAACGUUGAAAUGCUAAAUAGUGGACAUCAUAAACAGCGCGUUCUUUCGUCUAAAGGUAUGUUUUCUGGUCUUUGCUGGUGUUCUUUCAUCAUAAACAGCGCGUUCUUUCGUCUAAAGGUAUGUUUUCCCAAUAUGUCAUAAGAAAUACAAUUAACUUUUCUACAAACAGGAUGGCCUUUGCUGUUUUGUGGUGGUGCAUGCUGGCUGAAUCUGUUUGAAUCCUAGUAUGUUGACUCUAAAGAUGUUGAGAGUAAACUCCACCUGUAAUCCCUGUCUGGCUAGCUGUUAUGACAAAAUAGACUAAAAUGAAUCAAAGAAUUUGCUAAGAAUGGAAUUGAAGACUUACUGAUGAAGUUAGUAUAAUGAAUAGUAUGAUCUAAAUUAGUUCAAAUGGAAGAAAACCUCUGGCAGGAAAAUUCAGCAUUGCGCUCGACCACAGAGUUAUUGCUUACAGAAUCCCCGGUAGACUUGAAAAAUUAUACAUGCAAAGCAAGAUAUGCAUAUAUUGGUUCCUUACUGGGAUUUGAACCAUUGUGUAGCCUCCGGAGAACCACCAUUGCUUCUGGCUGUCUCAGUACAUUGUGCAACAAAGGCAGCAAUUAAAGAAGCCAGGAAACAGCUAAAUACCUGGAGUGGAGUUGAUGGACCUGAUUCAGCAUUCCAGUUGGAUGUCCCAGCUAUUAUGCCUGUUGUGAAAAGCCUCUGUGGCUUGGACAAUGUGGAGAGGUACUUGGAAAGCUUGCUUCACUGAUCUACAUUGGCAUUUGGAAAAGGCAGUAAACUGUGUUUAUGUCUGUAAAAGACAGUGAAGAAUCAGCUAGUUUAUGUAGCAAUAGUUGUUUCUGGUUUUCUGCAGAUAUGUACACGUUGUUAAUCUCCUUGAAGGCAACAUAAUAAUCCCCAAUCACUUAAAAUUUUCAAUCAUGAAACAAAAUUAAAAUGGUAUCUUGCUUGUGCCUGAUCAAUUUCAUUACCGGAUUUUAUAUAUAGUGCCAACCUUUUUCUACUUCUUAUACAUUGGGAGUUUUUUGUGCCAAGAAAGAGGCGUUUGUCAAACAAAAUUGCAGGAUUUAAUCAAAGUUAUGACAAUGGUUGUCAAGUUUUUUUCUUUUUUUUUUUUUUAAAAAAAAUCAUUUGUAAGUAGCAGAAAACCAGUUUUAUUCAAUAGUCAUAUGGAUCAGUUAUAUGAAUGAGGGGUGAUUACAUCUUCGAUAAUGACAACAUUGUAGUUGAACUAUUCAUCAAAAUGUGUAAGGUCAGAUUUUUUUUUUUUUUGGGGUAGAAGUGAUUUAUCAGUAAAGGGUUGUUUUAAAUUUUUAACAACUUCAAUUUCAAAAGUUUCACGUAUGACCAAGAGUGUUGUAUGCCAAGAAAGGAAUUCCUGUCAAGCAAAAGUAUAAGAAUUCUAAUUAAUUAUUAAACAUAGACGAUCAUAAACCACAAUCAACCGUCACUUUUGAUCCAAAAAAAAAUUUUGUUUAAAAUUGUCAUUUAGUUUAAAUCUAUCUUAUUUUAUUACCUAUUUGUAAGUACAGUGAGUCUCAGUUAAUUAAGUGUGUAAGUAAGAUUUGGUUUUAGUUUUUCGGAUGUCGGAAUUGCCUGUUUUUAACUUAUUUGUUUUAAGAGAAGAGAGGUGGGAUUUAAGAAGUAGAAUGAAAAAAUGAACAUUUAAACUCAGUAUCUUUAACUUCUAAGGCCAAAACUAAGUUCCUCUCCAAUAAUUAGAUACAUUUACUACAUGUUAAUAAUAAUCAACAUCAAUGAAUAUAAUUCAUGGUAAUAGCUACAAAAGAUAGUUGUAUAAUUGAAGACAAGCCAUUAUUAACAGUAGACAAAACAACCAAAUAUAUAUAUAUAUAUAUAUUUAUAUAUACUGUAGGAGGUCAACCAAAAAAUUAAUUGUUCUCUCUUUAAUAGUAAUAUUCCAUGGCUGUUAAUCUUCUGGAAAGAUAAUAAUCUACAAAAGGAGGAUGAAGAGGUUAAUUUUUCGAUUCCUAUGUGUAGGAGGUAUAGUGUCUACCCCUAGUUUUUUUUAAUGUGCCUAACAAGCUUAGUAUAUAUGCAAGACUUUCUAAACCUUGUGUGGCAUAUUUGCUUAAAUAGUCCACUAUUAACACCAAGGCUUUUCCAUUAAUAUGCAUUUGAUAUUCAUUGAUUUUGUUUGGAUAUGUGGAUAUCAAACAGAACAAAAGAGAAAAGUACAAGACAUUUUGGGAAAUAAGUAUUGGAAUUUGUAAUAUGAAAGCAGGACACUUUAGGUGGUUUACCAAAAUAAUAUUAACAUGCUUUUUCUCCUUCUGAGGAAAUUUAAGCCUUUUUUGGACUGUCAUUUUUUCUUAAAAAAUUUUAUGUUUUCGUAGACAUAUUUUUUAAUCACUUUUUACUUUAUAUAUAUCAAAUUAUUAUAUUACAUUUUUCUAUAAAAAUUCUAGAAAAUAGCAAUAUAUGCAUGGAAAAUGGAACUUUUAAAAUUCAAAAUAAGGAAUCAAGCUAUCCACAAUUCAUAAGUAGGGAAUAGUGAAUUGUUCAUGAAUAAUAAACAAAAGAGACACUGUAGAAUGCUGUGACAAAGCAUCUUGACAAAAUAACGAAGGAAGGCCGUGUUUGGCAAGUAAGUUUUUGGCCAAAUUUAUCUGUUACAAAUUUUUUUAAAAUUUAUCUAACUUUUCAAAAUUUUUAAACUAUACACUUCAAAAAAAUUUCUACAACAAUUCGUACAAUGUAAGUGGGAGGUCUACCUCGAAUCCGAAAUCUCUCACAUUCACUUUCUUUUUGGUACCAAUAAACCGAUCUCUUAUCCCAUAAAAGUGACUUUGAAGAGGAUCCUGCAGCAAUUAAAACAGCAAAUAAAAAGUUUCGAGGUAGACCAGGGAUCCAAAUGAUUGUCAUAAAAUAUAAAAAUAAAAGAUAAUCUACUGAUGAAAAGAUGAAUAAGAAUUCACAGAAUAACUAGCGAUACCCAAGGCUGUUCUUAGUAAUUGGAGAUGUUUUUAUUAUUACUUUUCAUCAAAAUUAAGAUUUUAAAUAAAAUUUCCACACUCAAGGGAGUGCAGGACUUUGUUUUUACUUAGUGAUUUCAUAACCUAGACUUCAUGGAUGGUAAUUUUCUUGACUUUUUAAAUCCAUAAUCAAUGAGUAUUAAUAAAUUUUCACUUAGACAAUUGCACCUAAGAAAUAAAAAAUAAAUAAAUUCACCUAUUCUAUGCACUCUCCUGUAAACUUUUAUACAAAAUGGCUUUUUUUUCCCAUUACACGUGCGCAAAUAUUUUCUUACAUUGUUUAUGUAUCAUAAAUAGUGCGUCGAAAUGUAGUAAUUUCGCCCAAAAAAUUUGUUGAAAAAAAUGCUCGCAAAAGAAAAGAUAAUCUAUUGCAUGAAAUGUAUUGUACAUAUUAAUUGGUAAAAGAGCUUGGCUGAGGAGAAAGAAAAAUUUUGGAUUGUAGUUUUCUAAUGAAACUUUUUACAUUUUUCAUAGACAUAUUUUUAAAUUAUUUUUUUUACUUCAUAUAUAUUAAAUUGUUACAUGAUAUUUUCUUACAAAAAUUUCAAAAAAUAACGGCCCAUGUCUUGCAACUACUUAAAUAAUACGUUGUCUUCUUUACCUGCAGUAUGAUGGUAAGAUCAAGGGAUAAUUUUAGAAACCUCCUUGAGGUUUCUAACAAUAUCACUAGCCUCCUUUGAAGUUUACAAAAUUACAUAAACCUCCAUUGAGAUUAAGGUUUUGAUAACAAAUUAGUCCAAUUAGAAAAAAUAAUUUAUGGAGAGAGAUGAAACUUGAAUUCCAUAAAUGCCCCUUAUGCAUGUAUAUAAGUUGCAUUAGUAAUAUAUAUAUAUAUAUAAGUUAAAAAUAAUUAAUACACACAUUUCAUCAUUCAAAAAAUUCACAUUUAAUAAAUUAGAUAAUAUAAAUAAGUAAUAAAACUACAUUAAUGAUCACAAGAUUCAACAAAAUGAACUAGUCAUAUCUUUUAACAUGAUGUUUGCUAUGAUUCUUGUGAUUUUGAAUAGAAAAAUUUUUAAAUUUUGCCUUUCUUUUCCCUCAUUCCUUCAUUAGAUAUAUCUUUUUUUUUCGGAAACCGAAAGAAAACACACACACGCACACAGUUAGAUUACACUCGGAGUUAACGAAAAAACCAGUCCGAAAGCAGUCUAAAGGGAACCCACCAAGAACCCACGUUCAGCCAAUUGGUGACAGAACGAGGUCCCUGUAGAUAUUAAACCCAGAGUAACUACCCCACGAUCUUUCGAUGUGGGAUGGUGUCCCAAUCCCUGAGCACACCCUCGCCAUAAACAUGGUCUUUUUUUUUUCCGGAAAUCGAAAGAAAAUACACACACGCACAUAGUUAGAUUACACUCGGAGCUAACUGAGAAACCGGCCCGAAAACAGUCUAAGGGGAACCCACUAAGAACCCACGUUCAGCCAAUUGAUGACAGAACGAGGUCCCUGUGAUUAGAUAUAUCAAUUAAUGUUAUUUUGUAAAUACAAGUCAUCAUUCAUUAUUCAAAAAAUUUUCUCCAUCCAUUACUUUCAACUUCACUCUUCUGUCACUACCAUGACAGCAGAGGAUUGGAGGCAAGCAUGGGAGCUUUUAAUUUUAAAUUCUAACUACUAGGCAAAGUGUCAACCUUUUAUAGCAGUCGCCACUUAAGUAUAUUAUCUAAGUUGUCUAUAAUUUGGGAGGGUUUGGGUUGGUAGUUAUAAGUAGGGCUGCAAACGAAUCGAGCCGCUCGCGAGCGGCUCGAGUCAAGCUCGACUCGAGCUCGUUAUUAAUCGAGCUCGAGUCGAGCUCGAGCCGGCUCGAGUCAAACUCGAGCUCGAGCUCGAGCUCAAAAUAUUAAGCUCGUUAGCUCGCGAGCCGGCUCGCGAGCUUGGGUAUAUAUAUAUAUUUUUUAUAUUUUUUUAUUUAAUAAUAAAAUUACGUAUAUUAUAUAUUUAUUUUUUUAUUUUUUAUUUUUAUAGUAAAAUUACGUAUAUAUCCUUAAUAUUUUAUUAUUUAUUAAGAAAAAUAUUAUUUUAUUUAUUUUUUUUAAAAUAAAAUAAUUAUUUUUUAUUUUUUUUCGAGCUCGAGCUCGGCUCGACUUGAUUCGAGUCGAGCUCGAGCUCGAAAUUUGCCAGCUCGUCGAGCUCGAGCUUGGUAAAAUUUAGUCGAGGCUCGGCUCGAUUAGCUCAAAGCUCGACUCGGCUCGACUCGUUUGCAGCCCUAGUUAUAAGUCUUCUGUGGGACCUCAAAGGAUACCGGCUUUUGGGGUUCCCUCGGGGUUUAGGUUUGUAAAAAUUGACGUAAGCUCUUUGGACUUCGAAAGAAAAAAAAAGUUGUCUAUAAUUUGGUAGAGUUGCCUAGGUGUCAGGAGAAUUCUCUUUUUUUUUUGUGGGUUUUUGCCCUUUGAUUGAAACUUUUUUUUUUUUUUUGGAGGAACCUUUUGAUUGAAACUUCAAAGUUACAUCUGAAGACUCAAUUAUCCUUAGUGGCAUCAUUGCACAUGUCACCAUAUGCUUGCCAUAGACAAAAGGAUUGCAGAAAAUGGUGGUAAACCAAACCAACACUUACCUCUUCGCCUAAUCUUAGAACUUUUAUCGAAUCUAACUAUUCACAAAUACGUUCGUGUUCGGUUUAUUCAAAUUUGAAGAAAGUUUGAUCAUUUAAUAAAUAAAUUAAGUUUGAAUACAAUAUUAGACUCAUUUGAUAGUUGAGUCAAGUACGAAUUUGUUCACGAACUAUUUAAAUAAUUCGUGAACACAUAUAUAAUCAUAAAAAUACAUAAAUACUAAUAUAAAUAUAUUUAAUAUUAUUAAAAUAUAUUAUAUUUUACUUAAAGUAAUUAUACAUAAAUUAGUGUUAUUUAUUUUGUAAAACCAAAAAAUACAAUUAAACUUAUUCUAAAUAAUGUAUUAUUUUUUAGAAUAUAAUUAAAUCAUAUCUAAACUCAAAUUCAAAGUUGAUCUUGAACUCGAAUUUGGCUCAUUUAAUUUAAUGAGUUGAGGUUGAACUCAAAUUUAAAUAUUUAUAUAAAUAAACGAGAAAUUGAGCGGUGCUUAUAGUUCAUUUUCGUAUUCGAGCCGACUCGUUAAAAGUCUCCCUAAGGCCUAACCUGUCAAUUCCUUGGAAAAAGGAAUAAAGCCGAAUGAGGGAAAGGGGCAAAGAUUGAGGUUUUUCGUUUUUGAGGGCCCAAAAGAGGGAAAGACUAAAGAGUGAUCAUUUCUUGUUUGACGUUAAUAAAGCCAAACACAACCACUAAUUCAUCAAUGGUUGAGGGCAUCUUUUGACCAAAAAAAAAAAAAUGGUUGAGGGCAUGUUUGAUCUCUCUCUCUCUCUCUCUUUCACUUUCGGUUUUGGACCUUUGCAGCAUAUGGCACGUCAGGAGAUUAGUGCAAUCUUAAAAUUUCGUGAGAGGUCAGGUGAUAUCAUUGGAAUUUGCAGCAUUCUUGACCAAUUGAAUAAGUUGGUCGGUAUUCUAUAUCUUCUGCUGUAGCAUAUGUAUACAUUCAAUUUAGUCCAGUUAUUAAGAUAGUGGCUCGUAAAUCCAUAUGUUGUUGGUGGGUGGGUUUGGAUUACAAGAAUCGCAAAUAUAUAUAUAUAUAUAUAUAUUUUAUUUAAUUUAUAUUAUAUACAUAAUUUUCAAUCUUUUUUUUAUUUCACAUCACAUCACAAAAAAUAUUUGAGCAAUUAUUUUAAAUAAAUAUUUCAAAUAACAAAUAACCUCCUAUCCAAAUUUAUUUGAGAUUAUUCUCUGUGUGUGUGGGUUGUUAUUUGACCAUCCAAUUUUUCUUAGACGUAAUUCAUUUGUGUUCCUCACCAUUGGGUUGAAUAUUACAAUAAAUUAUCUCAAGAAUAUUACAAUAAAUUAUUGUGGUCUUGCACUCUUACCCACAAAAUAAAACAAAAUGGUAACUCAUAUGAGUUAUAGUAGUAAAAAAAUAAAAAUAAUUAAAAGUUAGAAACAAUUAACAUAUACAUUUCACUAUUCAAAAAGUUUACAUUCAAUAUAUUAAAUAAUACAAAUAAGUAAAAAACUACACUAAUGAUCACAAAAUUCAGUAAAAUAGAUCAGUCAUCUCUCUUAUCAAGAGGUUUGCUAUGAUUCCUGUGGUUUUGAAUAGAAAAUUUUUGAAUUUUGCCUUUCUUUUCCUUCCUUUCUCCUUUUCUUCCACGAAUUACUUUACAACUAUCAUAGUUUUAAGAGUUUCAAAGAAAAUUUCCUCAUCAACAACCUUCUUUUGUCCAGUGUUUUCUUCUUCUAACAAAACCCUUCUUUUUUACAUUGUGUACAACUAAUUUCUAGUCAUUGUAAAAUUCUAUCAAUAACAAAAUAGCUUUAUUUGGUAUAUCAAUUGGCGUUAUUUUGUAAUUGCAAGUCAUCGGUCAUCAUUAAAGAAAUGCUUAACAUUUAUUUUCAUUAAUUAGUUGCUAAUAGUUAAUUAGUGCUCUAAUUACUCAAUCGUUAGAUAUUAGUGUCUAAUAAGACAUAAUAUCUUAGGAUAUAUGAGUAAUUUCUCCCCAUGUGAUAUAAAUAAUUGGUCCAUAAUUCUAUCAAGAGAGGUAAGUGUAAUUGUAUAAACCUCAGGGGAGGUCAAUGAAAUUGUUAGAAAUCUCAAAGGAAGUUUCUGAAAUUAUCUCCUUUUUUUUUUAACUUUUAGCAGGAGACAAAUGGAAUCAAGGAACGGAAAAGGGGAAAAGGGUUAGAAUUAAGGGUCUGUUUGGUUGGAAGUAAAAUGUUUUCCUUGGGAAAAUAUUUUCCGUGGAAGUAAUUUUCCAUGAAAAUCAUUUCCCUUUCAUCAUUUUCAGGUGUUUGGUUAGCUUAUUGAAAAUAUUUUCUUACUUCAUUUUUCUGGUGUUUGUUUAACUUUUGAAAUAUUUUCACUUUUAUUUCUAUCUUUACUUUCUACACAUUAUAACUACAUACUUCUUCCCAUGCAAAACAAGAAAAUUUAUCUCAUUGUUUAACUUUAAAAAAUCUUGGAGAAAUGUAUAUAUGAAUAAAAAAUAUCUCCUUAAGUAAUAAACAAAUUGCUGGCCAUUUAGUGUCAAAUAUCAAUCACAUGCAAUGCUUAUUGUGACAUAUAUCUUGCACUCUCACUGCUGAAAGUUUCUCUAAAAAAGAAUGUCCCUAUUAUACAUAAUUAAUUACUAGCAUAGGAUGAGCAGGAUGAGGUUUUUUUUUUUUUUUGAAUAUACUAGGGGGAGGGUUGGGUGGUACGGGGGAGGGAGUGUAAGCAAGAGGUCUUGGGUUCGAGUCUUCCUGUUUACACUAAAAAAAAAAAAAGAACAUACUACAAGAUGUUUUCAGUAAGUUUGGAACAUACUACAGGCGGGAUGCAUGUAUUUCGGAAAACAACUUCAGUAAGUUUGGAAGGGAAGUUGUUUUCCAUAAGAUGAGUGAAAAUAUUUUACAUAGGAAAAUGUUUUCAGUAACUUUUGUGCAACCAAACGCGGGAAAUUAGGAAAAUAUUUUCCUGGAAAACAUUUUCACCCGAAACAAACGGACCCUAAGAAUUUCUAAAUCUUUAGAAUCUCUCCUCGAUGAUUACGGAUGUGAAGCUAAACUAAAAGAUCUCUCAUUAUUGACGUUGAUGAUAGAUAUUUCAUAGCAGUCUCACAAGCCUCAUUCAGUAAUUGCAGUAACAGGCCUUUUAUUCUUUUAGCAUUUAGUAUAUAUUGGCACAAAUCAUGUUCGUUUUGAAAAACAAAGAGAUAUUUCAAUUAGCAAAAUUUCUAGGCUUACAAAUUUUUUUUAUCUUUGACAUUUUAUACCAUUUUUUUUUUUUUUUAGACUCUAAGCCUUACAAAAGUUAAAGGGGAGAAAGGAAAGGGUUUGAAACUCAUCUUGGGGACCUUAAUGUUACUUGACUAAUGUCACUACCAGCUAAGUUGAACUAUGGAAACUUUUUCUAAUUAAUUUCUAUUAGAUACUGGAAUUCCUUGACCAUUCACUUGUUCUCAAUCCUUAACAUUUUAUGUUCUUAACUAAUAUUGACUUCUGAUUAAGAACAUUUAUGCUCGUAACUAAUUUUAUUUUCAGUUGAAAGCAAGUCCAAAUAGGAUGCUGAUUUUUAAAAGAAUAUUCCAAAUUUCUUUUCCUCCCUUGUUCUCACCCCCUCCAUGUGUGGUAUGCUGACAAAAAUUUCGAUAUUAACAUAGCCAUUUGGAUGUGUUACAACAGAUAAUUUUGAACGCAAUUGGAUAAGAUAUAUGAUACAAUCACAACCAACAGGAUUAACUAAAACCAUAUCACACUCCUGAACAAAGAUGUUAUGUUUCUCUUAACAUGCAGUAAGCUUGAAUUUUAUUUUGGAAGUCUCAAUAUUGUAAUACUAAAAGUUUUUUUCUUUAAUGAGACUGGUAAUGCUAGAGAACUCAAAAAGAAAGAUUUUUGUACAUUUUUUAAUAACCAUUGCUUUUUUGAAGUUCGCAUGUCUCAAAGAUCAACCUCUUUCUUUAUUUUCGUAUAUCUAUUUAUUUUAGAAUAGUUAUUUAUCUUUUUGUCAUUUUUUCUUUUCCCUCACGAGUUUUUUUUGUCUUUCUACGGAUAAUUUUCAAACUAAUAAAUAUUCAAGUAUUGAAGACAUUCUAAGCCAACCUUAUGAAUAAGUAAAUGACUUGGUAUAUAAGAGGAUCUUGUUUGUUCAAAUGAUGAGAUGCAUGACUAGUUGGGUUAACGUUUAUUGCAAGGGCUUCCAGAAUUUCCCACUGAAUUCUCUGUACGCUUUUAUGAUUCUUCCUCUAAUUGAAUGUUAGGUUUGAGUGGCAUCACUCUUUGUUUGGGGCAAUGACUCAUCGCCAUACCAAUCCCAAAUAAAAAAAAAAUCUGCCGACAGCGGCAAGUUACCCCGAUUCCAUCAUUGCUGGUUUUCAUCGUGUUCUAGAGGUUAAUUUGCGAGGAUUCUUUUGUGCACCAACAUGGUAGGGACAAAUUAAACAUUAAAAAAAAAGCGACAUUUGUAACACGCCUUGAAACGAUCUCUCUUGAUUGAAAUUGAGGCAUAAAGAUAUGUUCUAAAUUAUUGUUCCACCUCUGUGAUAUAGUAAUAUAUAAAUUUCUGUAGCAAAGUAAAUCAGUAAGCAAAUAGCUUUGGCUAUCCUCUUUGUUUUAUCUGUAAUUUUUAACUCGUCUAACUUGUAAUCCAGUCUAGUCUUGUUGGACAGGCACAGCUUUUAAUUUACGAGUAAAUCUUAUAUACACUGACAGUGUAUACAUAAAUACUGUUGGUUCUAUAACAUAUGCGCAAAAGUUGAUUUUUAAAUUUAAAUUUUACAUAUUUAUCAUUUAUUCAACGUUAAUAGUGUAUACACUGUCAAUGUCAGUAUAAAAAAGAUUAAUCUUUAAUUUAGAGUGAUUCCACUGCUCUUCUUUUGCAAUUUUAUAUUAAGAGCAAGUUGUAUUUAUCAACUGUAUUGCUUUUAUCAAUCUUUACGUAUGUAAAGUAGUAUAUAUAAUUUAAUGAUAUCCAGUUCUUGUUGAUUUAUCAUGGCAUGUCUUUGGUCAAGUUCGUUAUUGCCCGCAUGCUUUUUAAUUAUUAAAUGGUAACUAUAGUAUAUCCUACAAACUAUUCAUGCCUUUCAUGGUGGGAUAUCUUUAAAAUCCUCCACUCUACUCAAUAAUUUUGUCCAUUGGAAUUUUUGAUAGAGAACUCCUUGGGAUGCCACUUCAUUUGUUCGAGUAGGUUUGCAAUCAUUUCUUGUUAUUUCUUUUGAACGUUCUCAAGUUACAACCUAGUUUAUAGAUUUCAACAUCUCUUCUAGUGCUGUCAUUCUCGUUUUGGUAGUAAAAAGAACCCUCGAGAUUUCUAACAAUUUCACUCUUUCUUCCUUGAAGUUUACAUAAUUACGGGAACCUCUCUUAAUGUGAUGAAAAGACAAUAAUGCCCUUCAUUAAUUGUCAAUUCAUUGAAAAACUCUAUUAAAUAUUAAAGUUUUCUCAUCUAUUAUCAACCAAUAAGUCAAAUUAUAAUUUUUCUCAUUUAACUCUCUAUUCUCUUUCUCCUAUAUCCAUUUUCCUUCUAAACUCAUUUAUUUAUUGUUAUCAACUAAAUAUGUAUUGUCGACACUAACAAAAUCACUAUACAUACCAAACCACCAAUGCGUACCUAUCUUGGUGUCUAUUCCUAAUUCUCUCUUUUUCAUUAUUGUUAAAUAGUUUCUUUGCGCCCAUUUUUGUUUCCAAUUUUUGAUAGACAUUAGCAAAUUAAAAUUGUCAAAUGAUAAAUUGAAUAAUAAUUUCAUUAUGAAACUAAUGAUGAUGAAGACAGUGGCAGUGAUAAAAGAAUAAAAAAUUAAGGAUAGGAAGUGGAUUAGAGACUAAAUAUAGGUUAUAUUGGUAUGGUAGUUAUGAAAAACAGUGUUCUUGGUAUAUUUAUAACUGUAUUGUGUUUCUAUUUUUGAUUUACAAUUAUUGAUAUUAUUCCUAUGGAGAGAAUUUGAUUGGUUUUGAACUCUGUACCAAUAGAAUAUAUUGGAUAUUGAUAUUGGUAGUGAUGACUUAGAUUAUUUUGUAUUAAAAAAGUGGUAACCAUGGAAUUGAAAUUUAGGGAUAUUCGUGAAUAUUGUUGUGUAUUAAGCAAAAUCUGAUAUUGAUAUGAGAUUGAAGGUAAGCUUUUCGGAUAUCUGAUGUAGCAUUUAUAAUUGAUACAAUGGUCUGCAUCGGAAACUUUUAGAUAAAAUAGGAACAUUAGAACUAAGAUAAGUGUUUAUUUAGUAGUAAUUUGGAUUUUGAUGAAUAGACAAUAGUGAUAGCAUGUAAGGAUGAAUGAAAUAGAGACUAUGAACCAUUUUUUCCCUUUCUAUUUUUGUUGUGAAUUAUAACUGAAGGGCAUUCUAGGAUUUUUAAGAAAAAGUCUAGCCUUUUAGGCCUACAAUGUUACUUAAACAAUGAAAAUAUGGGAGGUGGGUGUAAUUUUUAGAACUUGAGAAGGGAGAUAGGUCUACUAUUAAAUCUUUAAAAUUGUCACAUAUCCCCUGAAUUGCAAUACUUUGCAGAUUGUAUUUGCCUCUCGCAAAAAAAAAAAAAAACACUGAGUCCAGUUUUUAUUAUUUGUUCUCAAGGCACAAAAUAGAUGAACCUUAGUUAUAAAGGUAACCAUAGAUAUGUUGUUUGCUUCCAUUUACUUCCCUUUGAAACCAAGAGUUUGGUCAUUGCUAAUUGGUUAACCCUAUUUUAGUCUCUUUUAUUGGUAAACUACUAACCUAAAGGGUUAAACUUAUUUUUCAAAGCAUUAUAAUAAAAUUAUGAAAGCUGCGAUUUUUAAAAUUCAUAGCCAUUUAUGUAAACUCAAUUUCUUAUUCUAUAGGAUGAUGAUAUGAUUAUAUGAGUGUCCAAAAGAUAGAAGAAAUGGAUAUACCUAAAGCUUGGAGAGAAGGAAGGAGAAUGGUGUUUCAACACUUUUAGCUAUCGUAUCCACUUAUGUUGGCAAAAAAAAAAAAAAAAAGCAUGUUAAUAUUAUUUUGCUAAACCACUUAAAGUGUCCUGCUUUCAUAGUACAAAUUCCAAUAAUUAUUUCCCAAAAUGUCUUGUACUUUUCUUUUCUUUUUUCUGUUUAAUAUCUAUAUAUCCAUAUAUAUAUAUAUAUAUAUAUAUAUAUAUAUAUAUAUAUAUAUAUAUAUAUAUAUAUAUCAAUGAAUACCCAAUGCACACUAAUAGCGAAGCCUUGGUGUUAAUAGUGAACUAUUUAAGCGAACAUGCCACACAAGGUUUAGAAAUUCUUGCAUAUAUACUAGCUUGUUAAACAAAUUAGAAAACCUGGUAGUAGACGCCAUACCUCCCACAGAUAGGAAUCUAAAAAUUGAUCACUUCAUCCUCACUUCCUAGAUUAUUAACUCUCUAGAAGAUUAACCAUUCUGGAAUAUUGCUGUUGAAUGGAAAUAUACUAAAAAGCAAAAAUUGUAUCAAUGUACUUUUUCUUUCAAACUAAAAAUUUCUUGUCUAGUUGCUAAUACUAAGGGAAAAUGAGAAGAGUAAAGGUUUGGGGCUUGUAUAAUUUGAUCAAAGGAUUCAACCAUAAGAGCUGUCGAGUCCUUGCUUCCUUCAACUUGUGGAAUUUGUGUCUAAACACAAAUUUGUGAUUUCUUGACAGGUUGUCGAAGCCUGUGCAAUAAUAAAACCUGCUCAAACUAAAAGUAAUUUCUGUAGAUAGCGGUGAGUAGGGUCGAAUCCACAGGGAUUGGGAGUAAUUGUUUCUUUUCAAAUUCAAAAUUAGGGAUUAACAGGAAAUCGAAAACUAUUCUCUAUUUUAGAAUACUUACCUUUCCUGCGAACGUGACGCGGGCACGUCAUGAAGGCACGGAUUCUGGAGUUUUUCAGGUUACUUGACGCGGGCACGUCAAGAGGGUAAGAACCCUUUCUGACGAAUCUGACCGUGAGCUCUUCAUACGUCAUGACGCGGGCGCGUCAUGUUAGAGAGAUACCUAUGAAUCAUCAAAAACGAAAAUUGAAACCAUAAAUCAGUCAAACUCACGAAAAAUAUAUUUAAACUAACAAACAAAAUUGAACAAACAACUAAAAGAAAUUGGGUUGCCUCCCAAUGAGCGCCUUUCUUUAAUGUCUUUGGCUAGACAUUAUCAUGUUUUGUUCAUGGAGGAUAAAAUCUUGUGGCUCGUCUUAAUGUUUCAUCCUCUAUAUAGUCUUGAUAGCCCUCGUAAAUAGAGUAAUCAUUGGGCACACAAGUUACGGGCUUCCAUGAACUAGUAAAUGGCGCUAAACAAGUCAACGAUAAUUUGCAUUCUCCAUUCACUCCCCCCUCACUUACAUUUAUUGGUUCAAGAUAUUUUGCCAACGCCACUCUUAACUUAUUCCUGUCAUGAAAUUUAAAAUUUUCUGGUAUAAUAAAAUCAAUCUCAGUAAUAGAAGUUAAAAAAUAGGAGUCAGGAAAAUAUUGAUUAAGGAAUGGAGAAGAUGUCACCGCAUUUGGAGAUUGUUCACUGGAUUCAUUCACUUGAACGAGUUGAUCCUGGAGUCUCAUUUGUUGCACUUCAGCUUCCUUUUCAACUGCAUCUUUAAAUCCGUUUUCUUGAAACUCUUGCAGUUCCAUGUCAUUUGGCCGGAUAAUUGCACUCUCAUCUUCUUCAAAGUUGAUAUUGGGUUGUGAGGGCAAUUCUUCAAGGUGAGAAGCUAAUCGCGCUAUCCUGGAUGUCAAUUGCUUCAUUUGAUCCGCCAUCGCUUGUAACUCCUGUUGAGAUCGAUAUGAAUUAGCAAUUAGUAAUUCCAUCAUUUCUUCAAGAGACACACCUGACACGGAGGAUGAUUGCUGAGACUCUUGCUGUUGGAAAUCCAUUGGCCCGGUCGCAUAAUUAAAAUUGGAAUCAUCCCACCAUCUUUGAUCAUACCUGUUUGGGUAAGGGUCAUACCACGUUUGAAAUCGAGGUGGAAAAUCUCCAAAAGUAUCAAUUAGAAUACUUAGAUGAUCUUGAAAUACGGGACAUGUAUCGGUUGAAUAACCUGAGGCAAAAUAAGUUCCACAAUUUGCAACAGCCCAUUGAUCAUUAGGAAAAAUAUGAGUCUCAUAACCCCAUUCAGGAAUAAAGUCCAGUCUAUCAUCAAAAUACGGAAUGUUAGCAGCCAUAAACUAUAUAAAAAAAAUAAGAGAAAAAUAAAUAAAAAAUGAAAACAAGAUGAACUCAAAAAGGAACAAAUUAAUCUGGCACCAGUCCCCGGCAACGGCGCCAAAAAUUGACAGGUUGCCGAAGCCUGUGCAAUAAUAAAACCUACUCAAACUAAAAGUAAUUUCUGUAGAUAGCGGUGAGUAGGGUCAAAUCCACAGGGACUGGGAGUAAUUGUUUCUUUUCAAAUUCACAGUGACAAUGGGGUGUUUUUAUAUCAGGGGUAACAAUUUAAGCAAUUCAACUAAAAGUAAAAUAAUAAAAAUAAAAUAGCCAACUAGAAAUUAAAUAACAAUUUAUUAAAAUCAAACGAGUGAUAAUUAAGGAUCUAGCCAAGGAAUAACUUUAGCAAUGGUUCACCUAAUUGAUCAUUGAAACAAAGGUAAUUCCAAUUAUUUACUAAUAAAUAGGUUAUAACUGCCAAACAAGCGAUGACAGUCAACCCCUCCUUACUGUGUCGGUGAUUAAGGUACGCCCGUUAAUCACUGCUCUAAUUGAGAAAUAAUCCUAGGUACGCCCGUAAGAUUUAAUUCCCCAAUUACCUUACGUAUUAGAGGAGCCAUAUUCUAAUCAAAUAACGCACUACCAGGGUUAUUUUAGAUUAGCCUGCGUAUUCCCCUGACACAAAUCUAAUCAUGCCAGUUGUCACCAUAUUAGGACAAUUAAACAAUUACGGAUUUAAUACUCUAAUUGACAAUAGAUUAUUAAAUCAACUAAUUAUCCGGAUCCAAAUCAAUCAAUUAAUUAAAUAACCAUAAACACUGCAAUCAGGAAAUAUGCAAAUACCAAUAAAUAAGAGAGAAAGAUAAAAUUAAAUCGAUCUCACAAUUUUAGGUGAGCCAGAACCUCCGUUGUUCCUUGACUAGAUAAAGGGAUUUAAUUCAUCCCCUGUCUACUCCUACCGAAAAGAAAAGAAAAGCAACUAAAAGAUGAAAGGAAAAGUCAAAGGCUCUACCCUUUGCUCCUGCCAUGCGUAAGAAUCAAAAAGCAAAAUGAGAUCCCAUGGAAAAGUCAACAAAAGCUAAGCUAAAGAAGAAAAAGAAGUCCCAUGCUCCUAAUUCUAAAUCCUAUCUAAUUGCUAACUCUACUGUGCGGCGCCCCUUUUAUUGCUAUGCUUUGCGGCGGCUCUCCCCUUCCAGGAAGGCUUCGGCCAAAAUGACUAAAAAGGCCUCGCAUCUCUUUUGUUCCAAAAAUGUCCCCGGACGCCUGCUCUUUGAGCUCUUUCCUGAUAAUCAUCAAAUUGGCUCUUGUUAUGGUAUUUUCGAUCUAUUUCCUGAAAUAAAUGCAAAUUACGAAAAUGAGUAGAAUCUAAUAAUUAAUUCACAUCGGGUUAGGUAAUAGAGGAAAUUAAUAAUAAAAUAAAUGAUAAAAUUGCACCCUAUCAAUUCCCCCCACACCUAAACCAUGUUUGUUCUCAAGCAUAAAAACAGCAAACAAAUACCCAUGUUUGAUAAUGGCUAUUGCUCAAUCUAUCUUAUUGCCAAGAUACCAAGAAAAACAUAUAUCAAGCAUCAGUAAUCAAGAUCCAAAAAACAUCACUCCGGUUAGCUUCUAAAUCACAAGAUCCUCUAAUUUCAUGUUAACUAAUCUAAGAAGAAGGAAUGACGCAUAACAUUUAUCAGCAAAUGGUCCAACUAUUAACCAAAAUCUCAAUAUUAAAUCCAUAAAUCGGCAAGCUGACUUUUAUUAUACACUAACACAAACUUCACUUUUUUUCAUAUUUUUCUAUUUUUCUGUUUUUUUUUCAAUAAUAACACAAGACUUAGUCUCUGGCCAUUGGAGCUUUUGACGCGAACUCCGACAUUUUUCAGAUGAAAAAGCUCGGUUACUCAGCUUCUAUCGCCACGUGACCACGUACUCAUAGCAAUUACUACUUUUUGACGCGAGAAUCGACACUUUUGGUGAAGAUCCCCGAUUACUCGGUAGUAAAUACUAGCGGAGUACAGUCAACUCUUAUUCACAGCCAAAUAACACCAAAAAUUCAAAAUAACACACAAAUCAAAAGAAAAUUUGCAUCAGCUAGCCUCAUUUUACAAAUAUGGAGAACUAAAAUUAAUCAUUGGACCAAUUCACAUGAAAAUGUCAACAAUCAUUCCUUAUGCCUAGAGAAAUUAACCAAAAAUUAGAAGAGCUACAUAAUCACUGAUAUUCACCAAAGGAAUGCUCUUGGAUUCAACCACAUUAACUCGACACAUUUUUAUUAUUAAAACUUGGCAAAAGUAGAAAUAGGGGCAACAAUCCAACGUCAAAUCUUGGCAUGCACAUGUGAACUAAUCACUAAAAAGAAAGAAAGGAAAUGCGAGAAAGAUGGCCAAAUAACAAACUAAAAAGAAAGAAAGAAAAAAAAUAUAUGAGAAAAGAAAAAAAAUAAAUAAAAAAACAUCUAAAAACUAGAAACGCUAGCACCCCCCAUUUGCUCCCUCCACACCUAAAUCACACAUUGCCCUCAAUGUGAUAAACUAACAGCAAAAGGAAGGAGAAGGGCAACGGUACUUCCCUGGAGUCGUCAAAACAGUAGAGGGUUAGGCGGAAAUUAAGGAGGAAUUCCGGUGUGCUGCAUAAAUGCCGCCAAAUUUCUGCAUAAAAGCUAACAAAACUUGCCCAUCCCAAAAUCUCAAUAAAUGUCUCCAAUUGGACAGUUAAUUUCUCAACUCAAAAUCGGCAAUUCCAGCAAAAGCAGUUUAGAAAUUUGAUAAUAGCCACACAAUGACAAGUACUCAGUUUCCAAUCAGACAGCCAACCAAAUAGAAAUAACAAAUGCUAGUCAAAAUAUCCCAACCAGUACCACUGAUGCACGCACAGGUCAGAAACAAUUCAAACAGGCAACCCAAAUCACUGAGACUAUGUUCUAGACACCAUACAGUACCAGAAAUUAGAAGAAAUCAAAAUGAGAAUCAAUUUACAAAUAACUCCCAAAUCAACCCAGAUACCCCAAGCACAUGAACUGGCAGAAGAGCCGUCAAAUUUGAUCCCCCAGAUGCAAUAGAAACCUCAAGUAGUCAAAACCCAAACAAUAGUCAACAAUGUAAUCAAUACCAAAAAAUACCCCCAAAUGGAGCAGGAAACCCACGAAAAGGGUUCUGAAAAUGCUCAAAUCACCUCCUGCGUGUAUCCGUCAAGAAACCCACGAAAAGACACAAAACCCAGCGCUUGAAGGUUUAGGAAAAAUACUAAAACAAGGGUGGAAAGUCAAUACCUCCACCUGUCAAUUUUGACAGGUGGUGAUGCACGGCAGGAAAUGGCGGACAGCAGCGGCGACGGCCAGCAUGCAAAGGAGAGCUAGUGGAGGUUGUGAAUUGGAGCUAAAGUCACGCGUGAGGGAAGCCAAGUGGAGAGGCUGUGGAGGGCAAUCGUGGCGUGGUGGGGCUUGGAGGCAGCGGGAGAGCGGGAGGCACGGCUGUGGCUGUGGAUGGCCCGGGCAGCGCUGUCCGGUAGUUGGCGACGGCGAGCUAGGUGGGGAGAAGGCGGCGCACGGCGGCGCUGGACACGGCAAGGCAGAGGAGAGAGGGAGAGCUGGUGGAGGUUGCACGAGCUGGUGGAGGCGCGCGGCAGUGGGCUGCUGCGAGCUUCGGGCGGUAGCGGCGAGCUGGGCUGCCUUUCGAUGGUCGCGCGGUGGUCGUGUGCGAGGUUGAGAGUGAGGAAGGUGGUGAGCGCGAUGUGGGUUGCGGCGGAUGGAGGUUCAACCGAAAGAAGAAAUAAAAGAAAAGAGAAGCAGGGCAGCGGGGAAGAAAAGGGAUAUAAAGGAGGAAGAAAGAAAAAGAAAGAAAGAAAGAAAGAAAAGAAAGAAAAGAAGAAAGAAAAGAGAAGAAAGAAAGAAAAGAAGAAAAGGAAAAAGGAAAAGAAAUAGUUUUUUUUUUAAAUUUUAAUUUUGGAAACAAAGGUUAUAACCAAAGGAAAAGAAAAAAAAUUCUAAUAAUUUUUUUCUAUUUUUUAUUUUUUUUAGUAAUAACAAAACUUAUUUUCGAAAUUCAAAAUUAGGGAUUAACAGGAAAUCGAAAACUAUUCUCUAUUUUAGAAUACUUACCUUUCCUGCGAACGUGACGCGGGCACGUCAUGAAGGCACGGAUUCUGGAGCUUUUCAAGUUACUUGACGCGGGCACGUCAAGAGGGUAAGAACCCUUUCUGACGAAUCUGACCGUGAGCUCUUCAUAUGUCAUGACGCGGGCGCGUCAUGUUAGAGAGAUACCUAUGAAUCAUCAAAAACGAAAAUUGAAACCAUAAAUCAGUCAAACUCAAGAAAAAUAUAUUUAAACUAACAAACAAAAUUGAACAAACAACUAAAAGAAAUUGGGUUGCCUCCCAAUGAGCGCCUUUCUUUAAUGUCUUUGGCUAGACAUUAUCAUGUUUUGUUCAUGGAGGAUAAAAUCUUGUGGCUCGUCUUAAUUUUUCAUCCUCUAUAUAGUCUUGAUAGCCCUCGUAAAUAGAGUAAUCCUUGGGCACACGAGUUACGGGUUUCCAUGGACUAGUAAAUGGCGCUAACAAGUCAACGAUAAUUUGCAUUCUCCAUUCACUCCCCCCUCACUUACAUUUAUUGGUUCAAGAUAUUUUGCCAACGCCACUCUUAAUUUAUUCCUGUCAUGAAAUUUAAAAUUUUCUGGUAUAAUAAAAUCAAUCUCAGUAAUAGAAGUUAAAAAAUAGGAGUCAGGAAAAUAUUGAUUAAGGAAUGGAGAAGAUGUCACCGCAUUUGGAGAUUGUUCACUGGAUUCAUUCACUUGAACGAGUUGAUCCUGGAGUCUUAUUUGUUGCACUUCAGCUUCCUUUUCAACUGCAUCUUUAAAUCCGUUUUCUUGAAACUCUUGCAGUUCCAUGUCAUUUGGCCGGAUAAUUGCACUCUCAUCUUCUUCAAAGUUGAUAUUGGGUUGUGAGGGCAAUUCUUCAAGGUGAGAAGCUAAUCGCGCUAUCCUGGAUGUCAAUUGCUUCAUUUGAUCCGCCAUCGCUUGUAACUCCUGUUGAGAUCGAUAUGAAUUAGCAAUUAGUAAUUCCAUCAUUUCUUCAAGAGACAUACCUGACACGGAGGAUGAUUGCUGAGACUCUUGCUGCUGGAAAUCCAUUGGCCCGGUCGCAUAAUUAAAAUUGGAAUCAUCCCACCAUUUUUGAUCAUACCUGUUUGGGUAAGGGUCAUACCACGUUUGAAAUAGAGGUGAAAAAUCUCCAAAAGUAUCAAUUAGAGUACUUAGAUGAUCUUGAAAUACGGGACAUGUGUCGAUUGAAUAACCUGAGGCAAAAUAAGUUCCACAAUUUGCAACAGCCCAUUGAUCAUUAGGAAAAAUAUGAGUCUCAUAACCCCAUUCAGGAAUAAAGUCCAGUCUAUCAUCAAAAUACGGAAUGUUAGCAGCCAUAAACUAUAUAAAAAAAAUAAGAGAAAAAUAAAUAAAAAAUGAAAAUAAGAUGAACUCAAAAAGGAACAAAUUAAUCUGGCACCAGUCCCCGGCAACGGCGCCAAAAAUUGACAGGUUGCCGAAGCCUGUGCAAUAAUAAAACCUGCUCAAACUAAAAGUAAUUUCUGUAGAUAGCGGUGAGUAUGGUCAAAUCCACAGGGACUGGGAGUAAUUGUUUCUUUUCAAAUUCACAGUGACAAGGGGGUGUUUUUAUAUCAGGGGUAACAAUUUAAGCAAUUCAACUAAAAGUAAAAUAAUAAAAAUAAAAUAGCCAACUAGAAAUUAAAUAACAAUUUAUUAAAAUCAAACGAGUGAUAAUUAAGGAUCUAGCCAAGGAAUAACUUUAGCAAUGGUUCACCUAAUUGAUCAUUGAAACAAAGGCAAUUCCAAUUAUUUACUAAUAAAUAGGUUAUAACUGCCAAACAAGCGAUGACAGUCAACCCCUCCUUACUGUGUCGGUGAUUAAGGUACGCCCGUUAAUCACUGCUCUAAUUGAGAAAUAAUCCUAGGUACGCCCGUAAGAUUUAAUUCCCCAAUUGCCUUACGUAUUAGAGGAGGUAUAUUCUAAUCAAAUAACGCACUACUAGGGUUAUUUUAUAUUAGCCUGCGUAUUCUCCUGGCACAAAUCUAAUAAUGCCAGUUGUCACCAUAUUAGGACAAUUAAACAAUUACGGAUUUAAUACUCUAAUUGACAAUAGAUUAUUAAAUCAACUAAUUAUCCGGAUCCAAGACAAUCAAUUAAUUAAAUAACCAUAAACACUGCAAUCAGGAAAUAUGCAAAUACCAAUAAAUAAGAGAGAAAGAUAAAAUUAAAUCGAUCUCACAAUUUUAGGUGAGCCAGAACCUCCGUUGUUCCUUGACUAGAUAAAGGGAUUUAAUUCAUCCCCUGUCUACUCCUACCGAAAAGAAAAGAAAAGCAACUAAAAGAUGAAAGGAAAAGUCAAAGGCUCUACCCUUUGCUCCUGCCAUGCGUAAGAAUCAAAAAGCAAAAUGAGAUCCCAUGGAAAAGUCAACAAAAGCCAAGCUAAAGAAGAAAAAGAAGUCCCAUGCUCCUAAUUCUAAAUCCUAUCUAAUUGCUAACUCUACUGUGCGGCGCCCCUUUUAUUGCUAUGCUUUGCGGCGGCUCUCCCCUUCCAGGAAGACUUCGGCCAAAAUGACUAAAAAGGCCUCGCAUCUCUUUUGUUCCAAAAAUGUCCCCGGACGCCUGCUCUUUGAGCUCUUUCCUGAUAAUCAUCAAAUUGGCUCUUGUUAUGGUAUUUUCGAUCUAUUUCCUGAAAUAAAUGCAAAUUAUGAAAAGUGAGUAGAAUCUAAUAAUUAAUUCACAUCGGGUUAGGUAAUAGAGGAAAUUAAUAAUAAAAUAAAUGAUAAAAUUGCACCCUAUCAUUUCUAAAAGAAAUGAUGACCACAAUAAAACAUAUACAAAUUAAGUUAUGACUUCUUACUACUAAUGGAACCAAGACUAAAGUUUGGGAAGAGGGAGUAGGGGCAAGAUUAUUAAAGAUGUGCAUUUAUGAAAGUACCCUCGUAUAUUUCGAAAGCUUUGGGGGACAAACUCUAUUAUAUAUAUGAUAUUUUUAAAAUUUUUAAGGGAAUGUUGAAAAUUUUAUAAUAUUUGGGGGGGGGGGGAAUCUAAUUUUUAUUAGGACAUAAGUAAAAAGUUUGAUUUUUUAAAGAGUAAAUCUUAUAUACACUGACGGUGUAUACAUUAUCACGGUUGGAUAUAUGACACAUAUGCAAAAUUUGAGUUUCAAAUUCAAAUUCGAAUUAUAUAUCAUGCAUCUAAUGGUGAAAGUAUAUACACUGUCAGUGUAUAAAAGAUUAAUUCUUAUUUAAAUGGCAAAUCUUUUAUGCACUCAUAGUGUAUAUACUAGUGAGUGUCAUAUAUACAAAACUUGAUAUUCAAAUUCAAAUUUAAAUGAUGUAACAUUAAUCCAACCUUUUCAGAGUAUACAUUAAUAAUGUCGAAAAGAUUAAUUCUUAUUUAAAAGAGUUACAAAAGGAUUUUUAGAAUCUUGGAUCCACUAUAAGGACAUGCCAACCACUACAAUUAUUUCCAAGACGAUCUGUCUUUUCUAAUGGCAGGUACAGAAUUUUUUAAUCCUUGAUGAUUUUGCAGCGUGCUUUUAUACAAAAAAUUAACAUAAAAAGGAACCCAAAAAAAGCUUAUUUGUUAUUGAAUUCAUCAUAUUGUUCAAAUUACUAUUUUUGGCCUUUCAGUUAACUUGAGUAGCAUCUAAUGCAUAUUUUGGUUAAAUAUGAGAAGAGAAAAUCAGAUUUGGUGCAAAUAACACUAUAUAGCAAAGCAAACCAACAAACCUUUAUUCUUUAGGGAUUAAACAAUUUUACGUGAAAAUGUUGAGGACCAAAUUACAAUUUAAGGAAAAUCUUAAGGACUAUACCACCAAUUUGCACGUUCGAGAAAGUGCUACUUUCUUGAACGCGCACUUUCUCGAACGUGCAAAUUGGUGGAAUGGUCCUUAAUAUUUUCAUUAAAUUGUAAAUUAGUCCUUUAUUUUUUCAACUAAAAUUGUUUAAUCCCUAAACGUUUGUUUUGGCUUGCUUUGCUUUGGUAUAAAAUAUUAAUAGGAUACGAUUGUAGUGGUUGGCAUGUCCGUAUAGUGUUGGUUAUUAGCAUAUCUAGCGGACCCAAGAUUCUAAAUAUCCUUUUGCAACCCUUCAAAAUAAUCAAACUUUUUACUUACUUCCUAGUAAAAAUUAGAUUUUCCCUCCAAACUUUUAUAAAUCUUUCAACGUUCUUUUAAAACUUUAAAAUUUUCCAUAUAUACAUGUACAUAUACAUAUAUAUAUAUAUAUAUAUAUAUAUAUAUAUAAGAAUUGGCCGGGAGGACCCUAGAGCUUUUAGAAUACAUGAGGGUUCCUUCUUAAAUGCACAUCUUCGAUAAUGUUGUCCCUCACCCCUUUCCCAAACUUUAGCCUCUGGUUCCAUCAGUAGUGUUAAAUCAUAACUUAAUUUGUAUUAUUUUAUACAUGUUUCAUUGUGGACAUCGUUUCUUUUAGAAAUUACAAAUUUGUGUCCAUACAAAAAUUUCACAAGUUACAGAUGAAAGGACUUGAUAGCUCAUAUUGUUGAAUCCUUUGAUCAAAUUAUACAACCCUAAAACCUUUAAUCUACUCAUUUCCCCUUAGUAUUGGCAACUAGGCAAGAAAGUUUUAGUUGGUAAGAAAAAGCACAUUGAUAUAACUUUUGUUUUUUAAAUGUUUCUGUUUAACAGCAAUAUUUCAGUAUUGUUAAUCUUCAAGAGAGAUCAUAAUCUAUUAUAAGUUGUCUAACAAGCAAGUAUACUAGUAUAGUGUCUUCCACUAGGUUUUCUUAAGUUGUCUAACAAGCAAGUAUACAUGCAAGAGUUUCUAAACCUCGUGUGGCACGAUUGCUCAAGUAAUCCAUUACUAACACCAACGCUUUACAAUUUCACGUACACUCGAUAUUGAUUGAGUACAUGCAUUUCUCCUAUCCUUGGAUACUCAUAUAAAUCCAUCUCAUCCUAUAGAAUAAGAAUUAAAUUUGUGUAAAUGGCUGUGAAUUUUAAAAUCACAAUUUUUGUAAUUUUAUUGCAAUGCUUUGGAAAAUCAGUUUAAUCCUUUAUUAGGUUUGUCGUUUACCAAUAAAAUAAACUAAAAUAGGGUUAACCAAUUAGCAAUGACCAAACUCUUGGUUUUAAACGUAAGCAAAGAUCAUUUAUGCUUACCUUUGUGACUAGGGUUCAUCUAUUUGGUGUUCUAAGGACAUACAAUAAAAAGUGAAUCCACUUUUUUUUUCUUUUUUUUUAUUUGCUGAGAGGGCAAAUUCAAUCUGUAAAAGUAUUAUGAUUCAAGGGGUAAGUGACAGGUUGUCGAAACCUGUGCAAUAAUAAAAUCUGCGCAAACUAAAAGUGAUUUCUGUAGAUAGCGGUGAGCAGGGUCGAAUCCACAGGGAUUGGGAGUAAUUGUUUCCUUUCAAAUUCACAGUGACAAGGGGGGUAUUUUUAUAUCAGGGGUGACAAUUUAAGCAAUUCAACCAAAAGUAAAAUAAUAAAAAUAAAACAGCCAACUAGAAAUUAAAUAACAAUUUACUAAAAUCAAAUGAGUGAUAAUUAAGGAUCUAGCCAAGAAAUAACUUUAGCAAUGGUUCACCUAAUUGAUCAUCGAUGCACAAGCAAUUCCAAUCAUUUAUUAAUAAAUAGGUUAUAACUGCCAAACAAACGAUGACAGUCAACCCCCCUUACUGUGUCGGUGAUUAAGGUACGCCCGUUAACCACUACUCUAAUUGAGAAAUAAUCUUAGGUACGACCGUAAGAUUUAAUUCCCCAAUUGUCUUACGUAUUAGAGGAGCCAUAUUCAAACCAAAUAACGCACUACCAGGGUUAUUUUAGGUUAGCCCGCGUAUUCCCCUGACACAAACCCAAUCAUGUCAGUUAUCACUAUUUUGAGACAAUUAAACAAUUACGGAUUUAACGUCCCAAUUUACAAUAGAUUACCAAAUCAACUAAUUAUCCAGAUUCAAGACAAUCAAUUAAUUAAAUACCCAUGAGCAUAACAAUCAAGAAAUACGCGAAUACCAAUAAAUAAAAGGAAAAAAUUGAAUUAAAUCGAUCUCACAAUUUUUAGACGAACCAGAGCCUUCGUUGUUUCUUGACUAGAGUGAAGAGAUUAGCCCAUGUUUAAUGCGAGGAACCCACACAAAAUUGAAGAGAGAGCUGCGGCCAUCAAUUGAGGAAAUGCCCAAGUUCAAUUCGAUCAAAGGAAUAAAGAAAACCGAAAUUGCAGCGGAUGAUUUAAUGCGUUAACUUGUCUGCUCGUACCAAGGAAGAAAAAGAAACUGCUACAAGCUAAAAGGAAGGAAAGUUAAACUUUUCUCCCAAUUCUUUCUCCUGACAUCCGUGGAGAAUCAUUACCCCAAAAGCUUAGGAGAAAAGUCAAAGAUGAAGCUAAAGGAAAAAAAGGUACAGCCGCUCCCCUCCCCUCCAGUCCUCUGCCCUUUUUUUUGGUUUUUAUCCCCUGCUUCUCUAAUGCCUCCUGCGGCGGCUCUCUAGCCAGGAAAGGAACCAACCUUUCUUCGGUUCAGCCCAUGCCCAAAAGAAAAGGCCCAAAGAUUUUUUUCUUUUCCAAAAUUGCCCCUGGGACAAGCGCUGCUACUUGCAGUUCUUUUCUGUCAAAUUGGUACUUGUUAUCAUAUUUUUGUUCUACUCCCAGAAAUAAAUGCCAAAUACUAAAAGUGAGUAGAAUCCAACAAUUAAUCCACAUUGAGUCAGGUAAUAGGGAAAAUUAAUAACAAAAUAAAUAAUAAAAUCGCACCCUAUCAAUUCCCCCACACCUAAACCAUGCUUGUCCUCAAGCAUAAGAACAGUAAACAAACACCAAUAUUCGACAAUGUCUAUUGCUCUAUCUACCAAAUUGCCAAGAUACCAAGAAAAAUAUAUAUCAAGCAUCAGUGAUCAAGAUCCAAGAAAUAUAACUUCGGUUAGCUUCUAAACCAUAGACACCUCUAAUUUCAGAUUAACUAAUCUAAGAAAAAGGAAUGACGUACAACAUUUAUCAGCAAAUGGUCCAACUAUUAACCAAAAUCUCAACAUUAAAUUCAUAAAUCGGCAAGCUGACUUUUAUUAUACACUAACACAACAUUCACUUUUUUUUCAUGUUUUUCUAUUUUUCUAUUUUUUCCUCUCUUUUUUUUUUUUGCUUUUCUCAAUAGUAACAAAAGAUUUAGUCGCUAGCCAUUAGAGCAUUUUGACGCGAACUCCAACAUUUGCCAGAUGAAGGAGCCCGGUUACUCAGCUCCUAUCGCUAUACGACCACGUACUCAUAGGAAUUACUACCUUUUGACGCGAGAAUCAACACUUUUAGGUGCAGAUCCCCGGUUACUCAGUAGUAACUAAUAGCGGAGUACAGUCAAGUUUAUUCAUAGCUAAAAAUCACAAAAACUCAAUAUAACACAAGAACCAAAAGAAAACUUGCAUCAGCUAGCCUCAUUUUCAAACAUGGAGAACUAAAGUUAAUAAUUGGACCAAUUCACAUGAAAAUGCCAGCAAUCAUUCCCCAUGCCUAGGAAAAUUAACCAAAAAUUAUAAGAGUAAAACAAUCAUCGAUAUUCACCAAAGAGAUGUUUUUGGAUUCAACCACAUUAACUUGAUACUCUUUUAUUAUUAAAACUUGGCAAAAGUAGAAAUAGAAGCAACAAUCCAACAUCAAACCUUGGCAUGCACAGAAGAGCUAGGCAGAUAAAUAACAAAAAGUAAGCGAAAACUAGAUAAAUAACAAACUAAAAAUAAAAGAAAAAUAUCUGAAAACUAAGAACUAGAAAAACUAACACCAUAACUGCUCCCCCCCACACCUAAAUUCUACAUUGCCCUCAAUGGAGGUAAUAAAGUAAUUAAAGCGAAGAGAACAAUGAAACUUCCCUAUUGAACAGCUAAGGGAUAGGAGGGAACAGUGGAGGGAAGCCGAGUUCUGAGACAUCCUUGCCCCUUGGCGGGUGAUGUUCGUCACUCUCUCAACUACGUGAUGAAUCUGAGCCCGCAAGUGGUGCGACUUAACAUCAGAGGCCAUCGGUGGGAGAGGCGUAGAAGAAGAGGGCUUGGGUCUUACCAUUUUCUCCAAAUGUCAUUUCAAUCAACAAGAGACAAUAAUUGCCCACAAAUAAUGUAAACAGCAAAUUCAAAACAAUAACAAAUAAAAAGCCAGCUCAAUGAACAAAAUGCACAAUUCAAUCACCCCCAGGUUAUACAAAUACUCCAACACGUAUAGCAAAUAAUCCCGCGCAGAUUACCCCAAGCAAAUUAAAAUUGAUGGGCAGAUUUUCCCAAGCAAGUCAAUUAGACACAACCGAUCACCAAAAAGCAAAGGAAGGGCCACAGUAGCCCCCCAAUUCAACAAACAGGCACAGAAAAAUACCCAACCAACGGCACUUCAAGGGGCACAAGACAGAAACUAACAAAGCAGCAAGUGAUACCCACAGGGAUCCCAACAGAGCAGUGAAUUCAACUAAUUUGAGCAAGUGAAACUCAACAAAUGUCACCAAGUGGACAAUCAAUUACCCAAUUCAAACGACCAAAAUUAGCAAUGGAGCCAAGCAGCAGGCAAUUCCAGCAACCACCGUUUAGAAUUCGAGAAACAAUUCAAGUACUAAAACUCAAAAGUCAAAUAGGCAGUCAUGCACAUAGGAUUAAGAAAUUUAAAGCAACACCGCAACCAGUACCACUGGUGUACACACAGGGAGGAGUUAAAUCAAACGGACAACCCAAGAAACUAACGCCACUAAAUUCCAGCAGAGGAGUACUUUAGUGAGACCAAUAAGGAAACCCAGCAAAGGAUAUUCAAAACAGGCAGGUAAUAGGUGUAAUGGUACCUCCACCGUGGUGAUAGAGAGAAGGAAAGAGAGAGAGACGUGACCGUGGGUGGAGAGGAGAGAGUUGAUGGAGGUGCUCGACGGUGGCCGCAGGCGCGCGUGGGCAGCGGUGGCGGGCUAUGGGAGUAGCACUCUGUGGGUGGCUGCUGCUGCAUCAGGGACUGUUAGCGGCUGGUAGGCGAGCUGGUUUGCGUGAGGGAGGAAGCGGCGCGAGCAGUGAUGGCAGUUGGCGGACGCGGCGUGCGGCGUUGGCGAAGUGAAGCUAGUGGCACGCGGCCUGGCCUUGAGCGGGUGUCGUCGAGGUGGGUCGGACUGGAGGGGCUGCGCACGAAUCGAGGUGAGGUUGGGGAGAAAGAGCUGGUAGCUUGGUGCGGCGCUCGAUGGCGGUGCGCGCGAGGUGGGCGAGCGCGAGUGGACGGUGGGCAAAGGGAUUCGGACGACAUAGAAGGAACAGGGGAGAAGGAAGAAAGAAGAAGAAAAGAAAGAGGGAAUUUUUUUUUUUUUUUUAAAUUCGCAUCUUGAAAAUCUAAGCUACCGUGAAAUAAGGAAAAAAAAAAAUUUUUUGAAACUUUUUUUUUUUUGAAAUUGAGAAACCUAGCUACAGUUGAAAAAAAAUUCUUCUUUUUUUCUUGUUUUAAAAAAAUGAAAUAAUAAUUUUUUUUUCAAAUUUUAUUUUCAAAAUUCAAAAUUAGAGAUUGAUAGAAAAUCAAUAACCGUUCUUGAGUUUUGAAUACUUACCUUUCCCGCGAACGUGACGCGGGCACGUCAUGAAGGCACGGAAACUGGAGCUUUCCAGGUUAUUUGACGCGGGCACGUCAAGAGGGUAAGAACUCUUUCUGACGAAUCUGACCGUGAGCUCUUCAUAUGUUAUGACACGUGCGCGUCAUGUCAGAGUGAUACCUAUGAAUCAUCAAAAAUGAAAAUUGAAACCAGAAAUCAGUCAAACUCAAGAAAACAUAUUUAAACUAACAAACAAAAUCGAACAAAUAACUGAAAGAGAUUGGGUUGCCUCCCAAUGAACGCCUCUCUUUAAUGUUUUUGGUUAGAUAUUAUCAUAUUUUGUUCAUGGAGGAUAAAAUCUUGUGGCUCGUCUUAAUGCUUCAUCCUCUAUAUAAUCCUGAUAGCUCUCGUAAAUAGAGUAAUCCUUGGGCACACGAGUUACGGUCUUCCAUGUACUAGUUGAUGGCGCCAAAUAAUCAAGCAGUGAUCUCCAUUCUUCAUCCACUCCUCCAUCAAGAGCAUUCAACGGUUCAAGAUAUUUGACCAUAGCUACUCUUAACUCAUUUCUGCAAUGAGACUCAAACACUUCCGGUAUAACAAAAUCAAUCUCAUUAACAGAAGUUAUAUAGUAAGAAUUAGGGGAAUAUAGAUUAAGGGAUGGGGUGGGUGUCAUCGCAUUUAGUAAUUGCUCACUGGAUUCGUUCACUAGGGUAAUUUGAUGUUGGAGUCUCGUGUCUUCCACUUCAACUUUCUUUUCAACUGCAUCUUUGGAUCCUCCUUCUUGAGACUCUUGCAGUUCCAUAUCACUUGUCAGGAUAAUUGCACUCUCACCUUCCUUAGAGUCAUUGACAGUCUGUGAGGGCAAUUCUGACAUGAAUGACGAUUAUUGAGACUCUUGCUGUUGAAAACUCAUUGGCCCCUUUUCAUAAUUAACGUUGGAGUUAUCCCACCAUCCUUGAUCAUACCGCUUUGAAUAAGGGUCAUACCACGUUUGAGAUCGAGGUGAAGAAUCUCCAAAUUUUUUUUUUAAUAUAGUCACUCAGGUAGUCUUGAUAUUCGGGGCACAUACCGGUUGAAUGAUCCCUGGCAUAACAAAUUUCACAGGUUGCAGCAGCCAUUCUUUUUCUAAGAGAGUUUAGUGCGUCUGAAUAUGCAAACUUAGAAAAAAAAUAAGCCUUAUUGCCUUCUCUGGAAACAAAAUCCAGUCUAUCACCAAAAUACGGAGUGUUAGAAGCCAUAAACUAUAUUAAAAAAAAUAAAAAAAAAGAUGAACUCAAAAAGAAACAAAUUAAUCUGGCACCAGUCCCCGGCAACGGCACCAAAAAUUGGCAGGUUGUCGAAGCCUGUGAAAUAAUAAAACCUGCUCAAACUAAAAGUGAUUUCUGUAGAUAGCGGUGAGCAGGGUCGAAUACACAGGGAUUGGGAGUAAUUGUUUCCUUUCAAAUUCACAAUGACAAGGGGGAUAUUUUUAUAUCAGGGGUGACAAUUUAAGCAAUUCAACCAAAAGUAAAAUAAUAAAAAUAAAACAGCCAACUAGAAAUUAAAUAACAAAUUACUAAAAUCAAAUGAGUGAUAAUUAAGGAUCUAGCCAAGAAAUAACUUCAGCAAUGGUUCACCUAAUUGAUCAUCGAUGCACAAGCAAUUCCAAUCAUUUAUUAAUAAAUAGGUUAUAACUGCCAAACAAACGAUGACAGUCAACUCCCAUUACUGUGUCGGUGAUUAAGGUACGCCCGUUAACCACUACUCUAAUUGAGAAAUAAUCUUAGGUACGACCGUAAGAUUUAAUUCCCCAAUUGCCUUACGUAUUAGAGGAGCCCUAUUCUAACCAAAUAACGCACUACCAGGGUUAUUUUAGAUUAGCCCACGUAUUCCCCUGACACAAACCCAAUCAUGUCAGUUAUCACUAUUUUGAGACAAUUAAACAAUUACGGAUUUAACGUCCCAAUUGACAAUAGAUUACCAAAUCAACUAAUUAUCCGGAUCCAAGACAAUCAAUUAAUUAAAUACCCGUGAGCAUAACAAUCAAGGAAUACGCGAAUACCAAUAAAUAGAAGGAAAAGAUUGAAUUAAAUCAAUCUCACAAUUUUUAGGCUUAACCAGAGCCUUCGUUGUUUCUUGACUAGAGUGAAGAGAUUAGCUCAUGUUUAAUGCGAGGAACCCACACAAAAUUGAAGAGAGAGCUGCGGCCAUCAAUUGAGGAAAUGCCCAAGUUCAAUUCGAUCAAAGGAAUAAAGAAAACCGAAAUUGCAGCGGAUGAUUUAAUGCGUUAACUUGUCUGCUCAUACCAAGGAAGAAAAAGAAACUGCUACAAGCUAAAAGGAAGGAAAGUUAAACUUUUCUCCCAAUUCUUUCUCCUGACAUCCGUGGAGAAUCAUUACCCCAAAAGCUUAGGAGAAAAGUCAAAGAUGAAGCUAAAGAAAAAAAAGGUACAGCCGCUCCGCUCCCCUCCAGUCCUCUGCCCUUUUUUUUGGUUUUUGUCCCCUGCUUCUGUAAUGCCUCCUGCGGCGGCUCUCCAGCCAGGAAAGGAACCAACCUUUCUUUGGUUCAGCCCAUGCCCAAAAUAAAGGGCCCAAAUAUUUUUUUCUUUUUCAAAAUUGCCCCUGGGACAAGCGCUGCUACUUGCAGUCCUUUUCUGUCAAAUUGGUACUUGUUAUCAAAUUUUUGUUCUACUCCCUAAAAUAAAUGUCAAAUACUAAAAGUGAGUAGAAUCCAACAAUUAAUCCACAUUGAGUCAGGUAAUAGGGAAAAUUAAUAACAAAAUAAAUAAUAAAAUCGCACCCUAUCAAUUCCCCCACACCUAAACCAUGCUUGUCCUCAAGCAUAAGAACAGUAAACAAACACCAAUAUUCGACAAUGUCUAUUGCUCUAUCUACCAAAUUGCCAAGAUACCAAGAAAAAUAUAUAUCAAGCAUCAGUGAUCAAGAUCCAAGAAAUAUAACUUCGGUUAGCUUCUAAACCAUAGACACCUCUAAUUUCAGAUUAACUAAUCUAAGAAAAAGGAAUGACGUACAACAUUUAUCAGCAAAUGGUCCAACUAUUAACCAAAAUCUCAACAUUAAAUUCAUAAAUCGGCAAGCUGACUUUUAUUAUACACUAACACAACAUUCACUUUUUUUUCAUGUUUUUCUAUUUUUCUAUUUUUUCCUCUCUUUUUUUUUUUUGCUUUUCUCAAUAGUAACAAAAGAUUUAGUCGCUAGCCAUUAGAGCAUUUUGACGCGAACUCCAACAUUUGCCAGAUGAAGGAGCCCGGUUACUCAGCUCCUAUCGCUAUACGACCACGUACUCAUAGGAAUUACUACCUUUUGACGCGAGAAUCAACACUUUUAGGUGCAGAUCCCCGGUUACUCAGUAGUAACUAAUAGCGGAGUACAGUCAAGUUUAUUCAUAGCUAAAAAUCACAAAAACUCAAUAUAACACAAGAACCAAAAGAAAACUUGCAUCAGCUAGCCUCAUUUUCAAACAUGGAGAACUAAAGUUAAUAAUUGGACCAAUUCACAUGAAAAUGCCAGCAAUCAUUCCCCAUGCCUAGGAAAAUUAACCAAAAAUUAUAAGAGUAAAACAAUCAUCGAUAUUCACCAAAGAGAUGUUUUUGGAUUCAACCACAUUAACUUGAUACUCUUUUAUUAUUAAAACUUGGCAAAAGUAGAAAUAGAAGCAACAAUCCAACAUCAAACCUUGGCAUGCACAGAAGAGCUAGGCAGAUAAAUAACAAAAAGUAAGCGAAAACUAGAUAAAUAACAAACUAAAAAUAAAAGAAAAAUAUCUGAAAACUAAGAACUAGAAAAACUAACACCAUAACUGCUCCCCCCCACACCUAAAUUCUACAUUGCCCUCAAUGGAGGUAAUAAAGUAAUUAAAGCGAAGAGAACAAUGAAACUUCCCUAUUGAACAGCUAAGGGAUAGGAGGGAACAGUGGAGGGAAGCCGAGUUCUGAGACAUCCUUGCCCCUUGGCGGGUGAUGUUCGUCACUCUCUCAACUACGUGAUGAAUCUGAGCCCGCAAGUGGUGCGACUUAACAUCAGAGGCCAUCGGUGGGAGAGGCGUAGAAGAAGAGGGCUUGGGUCUUACCAUUUUCUCCAAAUGUCAUUUCAAUCAACAAGAGACAAUAAUUGCCCACAAAUAAUGUAAACAGCAAAUUCAAAACAAUAACAAAUAAAAAGCCAGCUCAAUGAACAAAAUGCACAAUUCAAUCACCCCCAGGUUAUACAAAUACUCCAACACGUAUAGCAAAUAAUCCCGCGCAGAUUACCCCAAGCAAAUUAAAAUUGAUGGGCAGAUUUUCCCAAGCAAGUCAAUUAGACACAACCGAUCACCAAAAAGCAAAGGAAGGGCCACAGUAGCCCCCCAAUUCAACAAACAGGCACAGAAAAAUACCCAACCAACGGCACUUCAAGGGGCACAAGACAGAAACUAACAAAGCAGCAAGUGAUACCCACAGGGAUCCCAACAGAGCAGUGAAUUCAACUAAUUUGAGCAAGUGAAACUCAACAAAUGUCACCAAGUGGACAAUCAAUUACCCAAUUCAAACGACCAAAAUUAGCAAUGGAGCCAAGCAGCAGGCAAUUCCAGCAACCACCGUUUAGAAUUCGAGAAACAAUUCAAGUACUAAAACUCAAAAGUCAAAUAGGCAGUCAUGCACAUAGGAUUAAGAAAUUUAAAGCAACACCGCAACCAGUACCACUGGUGUACACACAGGGAGGAGUUAAAUCAAACGGACAACCCAAGAAACUAACGCCACUAAAUUCCAGCAGAGGAGUACUUUAGUGAGACCAAUAAGGAAACCCAGCAAAGGAUAUUCAAAACAGGCAGGUAAUAGGUGUAAUGGUACCUCCACCGUGGUGAUAGAGAGAAGGAAAGAGAGAGAGACGUGACCGUGGGUGGAGAGGAGAGAGUUGAUGGAGGUGCUCGACGGUGGCCGCAGGCGCGCGUGGGCAGCGGUGGCGGGCUAUGGGAGUAGCACUCUGUGGGUGGCUGCUGCUGCAUCAGGGACUGUUAGCGGCUGGUAGGCGAGCUGGUUUGCGUGAGGGAGGAAGCGGCGCGAGCAGUGAUGGCAGUUGGCGGACGCGGCGUGCGGCGUUGGCGAAGUGAAGCUAGUGGCACGCGGCCUGGCCUUGAGCGGGUGUCGUCGAGGUGGGUCGGACUGGAGGGGUUGCGCGCGAAUCGAGGUGAGGUUGGGGAGAAAGAGCUGGUGGCUUGGUACGGCGCUCGAUGGCGAUGCGCGCGAGGUGGGCGAGCGCGAGUGGACGGUGGGCAAAGGGAUUCGGACGACAUAGAAGGAACAGGGGAGAAGGAAGAAAGAAGAAGAAAAGAAAGAGGGAAUUUUUUUUUUUUUUAAAUUCGCAUCUUGAAAAUCUAAGCUACGGUGAAAUAAUGAAAAAAAAAAAUUUUUUUGAAACUUUUUUUUUUGAAAUUGAGAAACCUAGCUACGGUUGAAAAAAAAUUCUUCUUUUUUUUUUGUUUUUUUUUUGUUUUAAAAAAAAUAUUUUUAUUUUUUUUAAUAAUUUUUUUUUCAAAUUUUAUUUUCAAAAUUCAAAAUUAGAGAUUGACAGAAAAUUAAUAACCGUUCUUGAGUUUAGAAUACUUACCUUUCCCGUGAACGUGACGCGAGCACGUCAUGAAGGCACGGAAUCUGGAGCUUUCCAGGUUACUUGACGCGGGCACGUCAAGAGGGUAAGAACCCUUUCUGACGAAUCUGAUCGUGAGCUCUUCAUAUGUCAUGACGCCAGCGCGUCAUGUCAGAGAGAUACCUAUGAAUCAUCAAAAAUGAAAAUUGAAACCAGAAAUCAGUCAAACUCAAGAAAAACAUAUUUAAACUAACAAACAAAAUCGAACAAAAAACUGAAAGAGAUUGGGUUGCCUCCCAAUGAGCGCCUCUUUUUAAUGUCUUUGGCUAGACAUUAUCAUAUUUUGUUCAUGGAGGAUAAAAUCUUGUGGCUCGUCUUAAUGCUUCAUCCUCUAUAUAAUCCUGUUAGCCCUCGUAAAUAGAGUAAUCCUUGGGCACACGAGCUACGGUCUUCCAUGGACUAGUUGAUGGCGCCAUAUAAUCAAGCAGUGAUCUCCAUUCUUCAUCCACUCCUCCAUCAAAAGCAUUCAACGGUUCAAGAUAUUUGACCAUAGCUACUCUUAACUCAUUUCUGCAAUGAGACUCAAACACUUCCGGUAUAACAAAAUCAAUCUCAUUAACAGAAAUUAUAGAGUAAGAGUUAGAGGAAUAUAGAUUAAGGGAUUGGGUGGGUGUCAUCGCAUUUAGUAAUUGCUCACUGGAUUCGUUCACUAGGAUAAUUUGAUGUUGGAGUCUCAUGUCUUCCACUUCAACUUUCUUUUCAACUGCAUCUUUGGAUCCUCCUUCUUGAGACUCUUGCAGUUCCAUAUCACUUGUCAGGAUAAUUGCACUCUCACCUUCCUUAGAGUCAUUGACGGUCUGUGAGGGCAAUUCUGACAUGAAUGACGAUUGUUGAGACUCUUGCUGUUGAAAACUCAUUGGCCCCUUUUCAUAAUUAACGUUGGAGUUAUCCUACCAUCCUUGAUCAUACCGGUUUGAAUAAGGGUCAUACCACGUUUGAGAUCGAGGUGAAGAAUCUCCAAAAUUUUUUUUUGAGAUAGUCACUCAGGUAGUCUUGAUAUUCGGAGCACAUACCGGUUGAAUGAUCCCUGGCAUAACAAAUUUCACAGGUUGCAGCAGCCAUUCUUUCUCUAAGAGAGUUUAGUGCCUCUGAAUAUGCAAACUUAGAAAAAAAAUAAGCUUUAUUGCCUUCCCUGGAAACAAAAUCCAGUCUAUCACCAAAAUACGGAGUGUUAGAAGCUAUAAACUAUAUAAAAAAAAAUAAGAGAAAAAAAAUAAAAAAAAUAAAAACAAGAUGAACUAAAAAAGAAACAAAUUAAUCUGGCACCAAUCCCCGGCAACGGCACCAAAAAUUGGCAGGUUGUCGAAGCCUGUGCAAUAAUAAAACUUGCUCAAACUAAAAGUGAUUUCUGUAGAUAGCGGUGAGCAGAGUCGAAUCCACAGGGAUGGGGAGUAAUUGUUUCCUUUAAAAUUCACAGUGACAAGGGGAGUAUUUUUAUAUCAGGGGUGACAAUUUAAGCAAUUCAACCAAAAGUAAAAUAAUAAAAAUAAAACAGCUAACUAGAAAUUAAAAACAAUUUACUAAAAUCAAAUGAGUGUUAAUUAAGGAUCUAGCCAAGAAAUAACUUCAGCAAUGGUUCACCUAAUUGAUCAUCGAUGCACAAGCAAUUCCAAUCAUUUAUUAAUAAAUAGGUUAUAACUGCCAAACAAACGAUGACAGUCAACUCCCAUUACUGUGUCGGUGAUUAAGGUACGCCCGUUAACCACUACUCUAAUUGAGAAAUAAUCUUAGGUACGACCGUAAGAUUUAAUUCUCCAAUUGCCUUACGUAUUAGAGGAGCCCUAUUCUAACCAAAUAACGCACUACCAGGGUUAUUUUAGAUUAGCCCACGUAUUCCCCUGACACAAACCCAAUCAUGUCAGUUAUCACUAUUUUGAGACAAUUAAACAAUUACGGAUUUAACGUCCCAAUUGACAAUAGAUUACCAAAUCAACUAAUUAUCCGGAUCCAAGACAAUCAAUUAAUUAAAUACCCGUGAGCAUAACAAUCAAGAAAUACGCGAAUACCAAUAAAUAGAAGGAAAAGAUUGAAUUAAAUCAAUCUCACAAUUUUUAGGCGAACCAGAGCUUUCGUUGUUUCUUGACUAGAGUGAAGAGAUUAGCUCAUGUUUAAUGCGAGGAACCCACACGAAAUUGAAGAGAGAGCUGCGGCCAUCAAUUGAGGAAAUGCCCAAGUUCAAUUCGAUCAAAGGAAUAAAGAAAACCGAAAUUGCAGCGGAUGAUUUAAUGCGUUAACUUGUCUGCUCAUACCAAGGAAGAAAAAGAAACUGCUACAAGCUAAAAGGAAGGAAAGUUAAACUUUUCUCCCAAUUCUUUCUCCUGACAUCCGUGGAGAAUCAUUACCCCAAAAGGUAAGGAGAAAAGUCAAAGAUGAAGCUAAAGAAAAAAAAGGUACAGCCGCUCCGCUCCCCUCCAGUCCUCUGCCCUUUUUUUGGUUUUUAUCCCCUGCUUCUCUAAUGCCUCCUGCGGUGGCUCUCCAGCCAGAAAAGGAACCAACCUUUCUUCGGUUCAGCCCAUGCCCAAAAGAAAGGGCCCAAAGAUUUUUUUCUUUUCCAAAAUUGCCCCUGGGACAAGCGUUGCUAUUUGCAGUCCUUUUCUGUCAAAUUGGUACUUGUUAUCAUAUUUUUGUUCUACUUCCUGAAAUAAAUGCCAAAUACUAAAAGUGAAUAGAAUCCAGCAAUUAAUCCACAUUGAGUCAGGUAAUAGGGGAAAUUAAUAAUAAAAUAAAUAAUAAAAUCGCACCCUAUCAGAAAGUGACAAUUUUAAAAAUUUAGUGAUGAAUCUAUCUUACUUCCUUUAGAAUGUCCUUAUUGUACGCUCUUAAGGAGCCAAAUACAAGUUAAUAGACAUUUUUUAGUGAGUUAAUCUUAUAUAUAUUGACAGUAUAUAUAUUAUCACAGUUGGAUGCAUAACACGUAUGCAAAUUCAAAUUCAUAUUAUAUAUCAUGCAUUCAAUGAUAAAAGUAUAUACAUUAUCAGUGUAUAGAAAAUUAUUCUUUUUUUAAUAAGCAUUUAACUGCACAUUAUGUUUAAAAAUUAGUUAUAAACCUUAUCUCGAAAUCAAGCAGCCGCUAUGGGAAUCCGCAAUUCAUUCCCUCCUGCUUCAACCUCCCUCUUGGGUAAUACGAAUUGUGUGACGAAAUAUUUUUGGCUUCUGUUGCAGGAAACAAGGAGAAAAUGUUAAGAAGUUGGACCUUUUUCCAGGUUACGUUCAUAAGUUUCAAAUGUUUUAUUUUGCUAUGCCUAUUGGGAGGAGCAAGAGAAGGAAGAUUAAGCAUUUUUUUCAAUUUUAAUUCCUUCAUUUUAUUUUACAAAACUAUAGGGAUUUAUGAUUUUUGAGAGAGAUAUUUUCGCUUUUGAUUUUCUUUAUUUCAGUUUUUGUUAGUCAAACGUCCUCAAGUUUGGUUUACUUUUUCUCUGAGCUUGGUAAACUUGUGCCAAUUUUUGUACAAGUUGAAAUCGACAGUGUUUUUUAUAAAUCUGAGUUUAUGUUGAAUUCGAAUAGCCUUAUUCGUAACAGUUAAACUCUUUAUCAUUUUUGAUAUAAGUAAUUUAGCAGAGGUGCAUAGCUUUCAAGGCUAUGACAAAUUGGCAGCAGUUAAUGGGUUAAUGAUUUGAAAUUGUUAGUGCAAAAAAAUGUUCUCAUACUAAUGUGUUUGAAUGCAUGCAUGGCAUAUUACGUGGACCAGUAUUUAAGGCACACCCUAAUGUGUGUGUAGUUGACUAGAAAUGUAUUUAUCAAAAUUAUCAUUUUAUAAAAAAAAUUUUAUUGGUCAAAUUUUAUUAUAAUCUAAAUAAUUGUAUAGAAAGAUGAUGGAAGUUGAGGGGAUAUGUAGACAUUGGUGUGAGGAAAUUGUAAUUAGUGGGCUAUCUGCUCAUGGUGGAGAAUUAUUUUUUGGAAAUGAACUCAGAAAAAUUUGUCCUUAUAAUUAAGGGUAUUUACACUGCAUAUUUUUAACACACAGUGACUCUCAUUCCUAAGUGAAAUAUCAGCAAAAGGGUUAAAUUCUUUUUUUUUUUUUGGGUUGAAUUCAGUUUCUCAAAAAAGAAGGAAAUUGAAGUUAAUUUGAACAAAAUUUAAGGAUACGAGAAUGCAAUUAUUACUAAGUCUAAGGCGUCCACAGCAAUAGAUGAUGUAGGUUCCACCAUUUGAGUCUUUUAGGUCUCUUUGUAGGAAAGAGUACAGUGGAUUCGACUCCGAUUAUGAUCCUCACGUUGGAAGUAGGAUUCAAACACAUAAUUUUUUUAUAAGAAAAUAAUCCAUUAUUAUGAAUUGAACUAACUUGUGUAGAAUUCAAACACAAACUUUCGUAAGAAAAUAAGUCAUUGUCACAGAUUGAGCCAACAUGCGUCUGACCAAUGAGUCAUUAUUUUCGUUGGCCUCACAUGUCUAGCAGUUAGUCCUACUAGAAUGCAGAAAGCUACGUGCUUGUUGAGGGUUCUUUAGCCUAUACAUGUAAGCUUUUGAGUUCUCUGUCAUUCACUUAGCUUCCAUUUCCACUUGGGAUCGGUUCGUUUGACUCAGAAAUGGAGGAAAAUGGGACUACAACUCCACCAUCAAAAGCUGGCAAUAGCAAUCUUGUGUUUGCAGUGAAUGGAGAGAAGUUUGAGGUGGCAAAUAUUGACCCUUCAACAACUUUACUUCAGUUCUUACGUUAUCAUACUCGUUUCAAGAGUGCCAAGCUUAGCUGUGGUGAAGGUAUCUACUUCUAUCCAUUGAUCCGUUUCUUGAGUUCUUAAUGAAUUUUUUAAGUCCCUGUUUAUCAGUUUCUAUUUGCUGCGGUGAUUUGUUGAACUGUUUUAAGGUGGAUACAGAAAGCAUUAAAAAAAAAGAUCCAAAAUCAGAAUGAAUGAUUGAACAUUUUUGUUCCCCUUCAUAUGAUGAGUGAACUUCUUGUUCAGGCUGACUAAUCAUUAUGUUGCAGUUUUUCCUUCCUUUUUUAUUAAUCUCUUAGUUUCAGCUUCUGAUAAGUUUUUGAGGUUUCUUUUGUUGAGGCUGGUGUUGUUGAUGGCUAGGAUUCAUAGGUUGGUUCCAUUGUAGGAAUCGCUAAUCAAUUAUACUUCAGAAGCAAUGAUCUUCAUAACAUUUAAGGUAAAGUACUUUUUAUCCGUGAUUUGAUGCUUUAUUACAUUACUCUAUGGUUUAAAAAUCUAUAUAUGAUUCUCUCAUUUCUUGGAUUAAAGCAUCACGGUUAAUUUUCGUGUUAAACUUAAUGGUCAAUAUUAGAUAGCCAAACAAAAAUUAAUAAAUUUACAAAUUCACCUUCACUACUUUUUCUUUUUCCAUCGGGAGAGAAAAGAUGAUUUUAACAAAUUGUACUUUGGCCUAUUAAAUCGUAAAAAAUCUUAAUUUGCCCCAAAUACAAAAAAGAAGAAAGGAAAAUAAAAAAUAGAAAAUUUGGUUUCCCUUUCUUCUUUUUGGUAUUUGGGGUACAUUAAGAUUUAUUACGAUCUAGUAAGUCAAAGUACAGUUUUUAUAAUCAUUUUUUUUCUUCCGAAAGGAAAAAGAAAAGGGGAAAGAGAAGGGAAAAAGAAAAAAAUAGUGAAAGGGUGAAUUUCCAUUUCUAACUGUGAUGCUUUAGUCUAGACAAUGAGGUGGUUAUGCAUAGAUUCUUAAACUGUAGGAACAUUAUCUAGUAAAGCGCCAAACCACGAGAGGGUAAAAAGCAAUUUAUCUUAACAUUUCAUAACCAAUUAAACAGAUUCUCUAGAAUUCAAUUUUUGGAGUUCAAAUUGAAUAAGCCAAUGCUCAAAUUGAAUAAGCCAAUGCCGAACAGAAUGGUAUGUUAUUGGAUGCCCUUCUGAUAGAGAACAGAGGUUAGACUAUGUUAGUAACAAGUAAACCUUUUAUCUGUAUGAACAAAUAUUUUUAGUGUUUAUUGUCUUUCAUUCAACAUGUUAUCAAGGGCAAAUAUUACGAUAUUCUGAAUUCUAUAUUAUGAUUCAGAUUAAAGUUUCAAGUAUCUACCGGCUUUACAGGAUCUUUAACUUCUUGGUGACAUUAGCUGCUUUCCUUUUGUUAACUGCAAAGAUUCUAAACACACCAACUCUAAUUCACUGGACAUGAUCUUCGCUGUCGUGGAAUUACAUAAUUAUUUUUUGGUACAUUAAAUUCUGGUUCUCUGACAUAGUUGCCUUACUUCAAUGUAAGUUUUUUUGUGAUGAAAGUUGAAUUGCCUUCAUACAACGUUCAAUGCCGGGACGUUCUGCCACAAAAUUUGUAUGCAUGGUCAUUGCAGUGAAUCUGAAAAGACAGAAUCCGAGAGAACUCGGCUAUCUUAUGGCUGACUUUUCUUCAACUGUUUAUAGUGCUUUAGUGCAUUUGCUUUAGAAAUAUUUUGACAUAAUUUAUUUCGCAUUUUCUUCUACGGAAUUGGUAGCAGCUUAACAUGUUCAGUUUUUCUUCUAGAUAGAUAUAUUCAACAGAAUUUAACUUAGUUUUUAGUUGCUUUACGUGACUAUCGUGUUAGAACUUAGACGAAAGCUAAUGUGGUCACAUGCAUUGCUUGUUAAAGCUGUUCACCAAACUGAUAGUCUGUUCAUUUUUUUAAUGGCACAGGUGGCUGUGGUGCUUGUGUUGUUAUGCUGUCUAAAUAUAACCCUGAGCUUGGUCAAGUUGAAGAUUUCUCUGUGAGUUCAUGCCUAACACUUCUUUGCAGCGUAGAUAAUUGCUCAAUUACUACCAGCGAUGGACUUGGAAAUAGUAAAGAUGGUUUCCAUCCAAUUCAUCAACGAUUUGCUGGAUUCCAUGCUUCUCAAUGUGGAUAUUGCACACCUGGAAUGUGUAUGUCAUUUUUUGCAGCACUUGCGCAAGCUGAAAAAGCAAACAGGCCAGAACCUCCACCAGGAUUUUCCAAGCUGACUGUUGUUGAGGCUGAAAAGGCCAUAGCUGGAAAUCUCUGUCGCUGUACUGGAUAUCGACCCAUUGCUGAUGCCUGCAAAAGUUUUGCUGCUGAUGUUGAUUUGGAGGAUUUGGGACUGAAUUCCUUUUGGAGAAAAGGAGAGCCAAAGGAAGUUAAAUUAAGGAGAUUGCCUUUGUAUACUCCAGAUGGUAAGUUCAGUAGAUUUCCAGAAUUUUUGAGAGGCAGGUCGAAGUCAGCAAUGAUCUUGCACUUAAAAGGCAAGUCCUGGUACAGUCCUACUACUAUUGAGGACGUUAAAAGCUUGUUGAACUCUAACAUGAUUGAGGAUAAUAUGCAGAUAAGGCUAGUAGUUGGUAACACUGGGAUGGGUUACUAUAAGGAACUAGAUAACUACGACAGAUACAUUGAUCUCAGAUAUGUACCGGAGCUUUCGACAAUAAGAAAAAACCACCGGGGAAUUGAGAUUGGGGCUGCUGUGACAAUCUCCAAAGUUAUAUCGUGUCUGAAGGAGGAAGGUAAUGUAUAUUAUUCCUCUGAUAGCAAGCAGGUCUUUGAAAAACUUGCUGACCAUAUGGAGAAAAUUGCUUCAGGGUUCAUUAGAAACUCAGCGAGUAUUGGUGGGAAUUUAGUGAUGGCACAAAGGAAAAGUUUUCCUUCAGAUAUAGCUACUAUACUUCUUGCUGUAGGUUCUCUUGUUAGCAUAACAAGCGGCCACAAGCAUGAAAGCCUUACAUUGGAAGAAUUUUUUUCAAGACCGCCUAUGGACUCGAGAAGUGUGCUACUCAGUGUCCACAUUCCAUCUUUAAAACCAAAAGGAAGUGGUUACAGCAAUGAAUCUAAUUCCAAGUUGAUUUUCGAGACCUAUCGUGCUGCACCACGACCCCUGGGUAAUGCUUUGCCUUAUUUGAAUGCUGCAUUCCUGGCUGACGUAUCUCCUCAAGUAAAUGGACUCAUAGUAAAUGAUAUCCAAUUGGCUUUUGGUGUUUAUGGGACUAAACAUCCAACACGAGCAAGAAAGGUUGAGGAAUACCUUUCAGGGAAGAUACUAACUGCCAGCAUUCUAUAUGAAGCAGUAAAAUUAGUUAAAGCAGGUGUAAUACCUGAAACUGGCACUUCACAUGCUGCUUACAGGACGAGCUUGGCUGUUGGUCUCCUUUUCCAGUUUCUUUUUCCAUAUGUCAAUGUUGGUUCUGCUAUUUGUGAUGGUCUAUCCAAUGGAUUUGCUGGCAAUUUGCUGAAGGACUCUUCUGAAAACCAUAAAGAGAAUUCUCUGCAUCAAUCGGCAAGUUCAAAAUUGUUGUCCUCUGGGAAACAGGAGGUGAAAUCAAGUAAAGAGCACUAUCCAGUCGGAGAACCAACGACAAAGUCUGGUGCUGCCAUCCAAGCUUCUGGUUUGAUUUUCUUUUCAUUUUACUGGGAUACUUAGUACAUCUUUGAAUUGGUAGGUUUAGUGAUUUGUCAGAUUUUAGAGUUAUAAUAUGCUGGAAAUGUGUUAGUUUUUCUUUUCAUUUUUAAACAUUUUACAAAAUUCACUUUAGGCACAUGUCUCCAUAUUAGCAGAAUACACUGGCUGUGUCAAAUAAAUGUUUUAACGUGUCCUUUCUUUUCACAGUAGUUAUGCCUAUGAUUUUCAAUCUUGUUAUUUGAUGCUCGGACUAAAAUUUGGUUUUCAAAAGCCUUCAAAACAAAACCUUUCUUUAGAUAGCUAAUUGUAGUCCAUCUACAAGUAUGCAUACUGUGUUAUUGGGAAAUCACAUUUUUGCUUCUUGGGGUUUAAGGGUCUGGUGUUCAAGAUUUUGAUGGUCUCAUGCCAAGUUGUUUCUAAAUAGGCUCUUAACUUUCAAUUUAUCAAUUUUAUGCUCUCGGACCUUAUAUUCUUGUUCUUAGCUUCCCCUUUUUCCAUUAUAUAUCAUCAUCAGUCUUCAAAUUUGAAUUUCUGGAGAUUGAUUUGCAGGAGAAGCUGUAUUUGUUGAUGACAUUCCGUCACCUCCAAACUGUCUGUAUGGCGCGUUUAUCUAUAGUACUAAACCUUUAGCAAGGAUAAAAGGUGUGGAAUUGAUACCAAACAAUCGAAUAACCGGGGUUGCUGCUCUUAUAUCUUAUAAAGACAUUUCAGAAAGAGGGGAAAAUGUAGGAUCUAUGACAAAGCGUGGUUUUGAACCUUUAUUUGCUGAUGAAUUUACCAGGUGUGCCGGAGAGCCAAUUGCAUUUGUGGUAAUUCUAUGCAUCCAGAAUCCCCUCAGUUAAUUGCAGAUAGCCCUCUCAUAUUAUGCCAAUGAGUCUCAUCAUAUACUGUUUAUGUCUGUGUUUGGAACAAACUUUUUAUAGGUAGCAGAAUCACAAAAGUCUGCCGAUCUUGCAGCGAGAUCAGCUCUGGUCAAGUAUGACACUGAAAAUUUGGAUCCACCAAUUUUAACUGUUGAAGAAGCUGUUGAGAAGUCAAGUUUUUUUGAGAUCCCUGCUUUCUUGUAUCCAGCACAGGUUGGUGAUUUCUCCAAAGGAAUGGCUGAAGCUGAUCAUCGGAUUCUUUCUGCUGAGGUAGUAGCAGUUUCUCAUAUCAAUUGUUUUGCCGCAUUUUCUUGAAGUGUUCUUCAUAUUCUCAAGAAUACUGAAAAGCCAUGCUAAGUUCCAAGUUUAUCUGCUUAUUUAAUUUACAGAUCAAACUUGGGUCUCAAUACUAUUUUUAUAUGGAGACACAAACUGCACUAGCAGUGCCAGAUGAAGACAAUUGCAUAUUAGUUUAUAGUUCAACUCAGUCUGCAGAGCAUAUGCACAUUACAAUUGCAAAAUGUCUGGGCAUUCCUGAGCAUAAUGUCCGUGUAAUUACAAGAAGGGUCGGCGGAGGCUUCGGGGGCAAGUUAAUGAGAUCAAUGCCUGUGAGUAUCAUUAACCCGUAGAUUAAGUUUUUUCUCAAUGUUUUCAUAGUAUAUGCCUUAUCUUUGAGUAAUUUUGGUGUCAUUCAAAAUGGUCUGGUCUGUGUCAAAUGAGGUGUAAUUUUACAGGGAAACCAAAGAUGAUUCUUGCUGAAAGGAGCUUCUGCAUGCAUUGAUGCUAUCCUUGUUGAUUUUAUUUUGAUUGUAGCUUUUCCACAAUUAAGUGUUUUCCUCUGUCAUCAACAACAUGACAGCAGUUCCUCCAUUUGCUGCUGCAAACUGACGUCUAGCAAUCAUUUUAUAGCUUACUAGGUUAGCAAACCAUCUUUUAUUCUGGUGGUACUUCAUAAGGAAUCCAUAUCAGGACUGUGAUGGAAUAAAUAUGCUCACCUUUCAAAUGCAUUUCUUGAAUAUGUGCACUUCUUGAAUUUGAAUUUAACAUUUGCAACUGUUGCAUAAUGGCCUUUUUUUGGGGGUGACAGUUUAGUCAGAUCCUUGGCAUAUUUUGGCAUCUAUAAUAUUGUGUAGAAAAGAUCUCUAUCCUGAAAUACUAUCAUAUUCUAACAAUUUUGCCUCAUUCUCUCUCUCUCUCUCUCUCUCUCUCUGUUGUGUGUGUGUGUGUGUGUGUCACAUAGGUGUGCUGCACAGAAAUUUGCAUAUGCAUAUAAACGCUCGGACAUUUUGCGAUUGUUUGUUAGACCUUGUUUAAAUGUGGAUUCUUAUGUCUUCCUAGUCCUACUUUUGUUGGUACAAAAGCUUACAACUGUGUCUUUCAGGUUGCUACAGCAUGUGCACUUGCAGCAUAUAAAUUAAGCUGUCCUGUCAGGACAUAUCUCAAUAGGAAGACCGACAUGAUAAUGAUUGGUGGAAGACAUCCCAUGAAAAUAACUUACAAUGUCGGAUUCAAAUCAAGUGGAAAGGUCACAGCCUUGCACCUUGACAUAUUGAUUAAUGCAGGGUUAUCUGCAGAAAUUAGUCCCCUCAUGCCGCUUACCUUGAUUGGUACCCUUAAAAAGUAUAAUUGGGGUGCUUUGUCAUUUGACAUAAAAGUUUGUAAGACGAACCACUCUACCAAAUCUACAAUGAGAUCCCCUGGGGAGGUUCAAGGAUCUUAUAUAGCUGAUGCUAUAAUGGAACAAAUUGCAUCAAUGCUUUCUAUGGAGGUAGAUUCUGUUAGAAAUAUAAAUCUUCAUACAUUUGAAAGCCUUAAAGUGUUCUAUGGGAAGGCUGCAGGUGAAGCACUAGAGUAUACUUUGACAGACAUGUGGGAAAAAUUGGGUGCAUCUUCACGUUUAGUCCAAAGAACGGAAAUGAUAGAGCAGUUUAAUCGGAUCAACACAUGGAAAAAAAGAGGUAUAUCACGGGUUCCAAUUGUGUAUGAAGUGGCGGUAGUGUCAACGCCUGGCAAAGUUAGCAUCCUUUCAGAUGGAUCUAUUGUUGUAGAAGUAGGAGGAAUAGAAAUAGGCCAGGGUCUCUGGACUAAGGUAAAACAGGUGACUGCAUAUGCUCUCAGUUUAAUUGGUUGUAAUGGGACUGAGAACCUAGUGGAAAAGGUACGAGUUGUACAGUCAGACACUUUAAGCUUAGUGCAAGGGGGUUAUACUGGUAGAAGCACAAAAUCUGAAUCAAGCUGUGCAGCAGUCAGAUUAUGCUGCAAUCUCUUAGUUGAACGUCUUGCCCCGCUCAAAAGUAAGUUGCAGGAACAAAUGGGUUCAGUUAACUGGGAAGUCCUGAUAGUUCAAGUAAGAUGCUUUUCCCAGCUUCUCGAUGGUAUAACUCUAGAUGUUAAUUUGAUCAAAGCUCUGUUGUGUUUCAUUUGUGAAACAAGCUUCUUGUCUUCAUCCAAUAUCUGCUUGUCAUGUAGAAUUCUUACUUCAGAAACUUAUAGAUUCCAUAACCAGUAGCUACAUCAGUUCUAUCAAUCAAGUUCUAAUGAAGCUUUUUUUUCCCGAUAUCUGGGAUUGAACAAUGAGGCCUAUAUUUGCAUUAGUAUCAAGUGAUUAACCAAAAAAUCUAAUAAAGUAUCUGGAACUAUAAGCUCUAAUAGAAUUUCCAAGUCUGGAAAAGGAAUUUUCCAAUUAAAUGAUUACAGAAUAAACACUUCAUAUAUCAGAUACAAAUCAUUGCUAAUCUUUAAAAAAUGAAUUAAUAGGCUAUUUUGUUCAAGUAUGUUUUGAGAGCUGCUGAACAACAUUUUUGGAAACCUAAUUUAAUCUUCCGUUGCUAGAGAAUUGAACAUAGUCGAAUGGUUAAGGGUCUCUAGUUUUCUUCUUAGGAUGAGGAUCUAAUCCUUACAGUCUCCCUAAUCCCCUUCCCACUUUUUCUUUCCCGGCCUUCCCCUUCUUUUAAAACAACCAAAAAGGAAAAGAAAAUUCUUUCUUUGCUACUUUCUGGAACCUGUCUAGGAUUACUGGUCACACUAAAUGUUUCAUAAAUUGUUGCGACUUUUUACACAUUUCUCAUUUGGGACUUCUCUGACUGUAGGCAUAUUCUCAAUCUGUGAACUUGGCUGCACAUUCUUACUAUGUGCCUGCAUCCAAUUCCAUUCAUUACCUGAACUAUGGCGCUGCGGUUGGCGAGGUAAAUUUGUUUCCCUCUGCAUUCUCUGUGAGACCAUGACAAAAAUUUAUCUUACAAGCUAUUCAUAGUACUUUAAAUGAUGGAUAUUAAGUAAUGCAUCAUUUUGAUUGAGCAAAAUACUCUUACAUUGGAGAAAUCAUGGCAUAGUUGUCUGAUGUGGCCUAAUGAUGAAUGGCGUGAAAUGAUGAAGCUGUUUUAAUUGCAGGUAGAGAUAAAUAUACUGACCGGAGAAACUAAAAUUCUGCAAGCAGAUAUUAUCUAUGAUUGUGGAAAGAGCAUGAACCCUGCAGUGGAUUUGGGACAGGUUAGUUAUUUGUUUCUUAAUACUUAUCCGUAUCUACUGUGAUUGCUAAUGCUCAACUUUAUUUUUGGAUUACAUUUCUUGUUAGCGUGAUUCAAUGUACCUUAAAAUUUAUUGAGCAAGCUGAGCUCAUGAAGAAUGACAGACUAUGUACUGAGAUUCUCUUCUUUCAGAUUGAAGGAGCUUUUGCCCAAGGAGUUGGAUUCUUUAUGCUCGAAGAGUUCGUUAUCAACGCAGAUGGAUUGACAAUUUCAGAUGGCACAUGGACAUACAAGAUCCCAGCAAUUGAUAACAUACCGAUGCUGUUGAAUGUUGAAGUGGUAAAUAGUGGACAUCAGGAAAAGCGUGUUCUAUCAUCUAAAGGUAUUUCUUCAAGUUUGUUAACUGUGUCAAAAGUAAUAUAAUUGAAUUUUUACAAGUAUUGUGUUCUUUGGGGCUUUCUGGCAUCACAUGCUGGCUAAAUCUGUUGGAAUCACAACUUCAGAAAUGACAAAGGGAACAGGAUGGAGAAUUAUUUUCACUGUUAUUUUCCUAAUCCAAACUAAAAAAUUAUUUACACUGUCUUAGAACGCCCCAAUGCACUACAGAAUAUUUGUAAUCUACUUUUCUUUAAGUAAUCAUUCAAUGAUCCAAACAAGUAAAUCUUAGACAACAAAGCUCGUGGUGCUGAAACCAUACCUAGUUGUUUCAGCGUUCAAUUGAAUGUGGCUAAAUGUAUGAUCCACCAGACUUGAGCUAUUUGACUGUUCUGGUUUAGUUGAACUUCUUUGUUCAGAAGCAGAGCUACCACAUUGCUAAUCCAGGAAUACAAAUGGAUGAUUUAUUUGUUAAUAUCAAGAACUAUAACUGUUUUAGAAAAAAAAAUGUAAUGGGAAAAUAGACGUAAACUUCUCACCCUUGCAAUUGAUGUAUGAAAUGAGCAGUCCUAGCAAAUUGAGGUGGAUAAUUUGACUGGUGCACAUGAACAAAUCUGCACAUGCAAGCAAGAUAAAUUUGUAUCGAUCUUUAACCUGGAAUUGACCAUUGUGUAGCCUCUGGAGAACCACCAUUGGUUCUUGCGGCCUCAGUACAUUGUGCAACGAGGGCGGCAAUUAAAGAAGCCAGGAAACAGCUAAAUACUUGGAGCAGACUCGAUGGACCUGAUUCAGCAUUCGACUUGGAUGUCCCAGCUAUUAUGCCUGUUGUGAAGAAAGCCUGCGGGUUGGAUAAUGUCGAAAAGUACCUGGAAAGCUUGCUUCAUUGAUUUGAUGGUCCACAGGAACUUUAGCGUAUAUGACAAUCAUAGUUAUAGUCGUAUGGAAAUAUGCAUGUUGUUACUCUCCUUAAACGAUAGUUUAUUCAUCAUAAAGAAUGAUAGUUAUGGGCUCCUGUUUGAUCAAAUAUCAUUGCCUUGUCAUAAUUGCCCAAUUUUCAUAUGUGCUGAUCUUGUUAUUCUCUGUAUUUUUAAGUUGGCUAUUGGUACCAACGCUGAGCCUGUUGCUUGGUAAAUGACUGUGUGAAUCACUGAGGUUGGAAUCCAAUGGCUAUGGGAGGGCUAUUAGAGUCUUCCUUAUUAUCAGGUUCAGAAUUCGAAUCGUGUAUCUAACAGUUGGAGAUGAGAAGGAUGUUGGAUAGGGUAAGAGGGUUUUAAGAAAAAAUGACUCUUCUCGUGUACUUUUGUGUUAAAUUAAAUUCAUGCAAUAAUGUAAACAAACUGUCAUCUAUGCAGCUCCAAAAAAAAAAAAAGAAAAACACUACUAUCACCCAUGCAACGAGCGAUUACAUCUCUCGCAAACUUAUUAUGACCAUGUAAAUUUUAUUAAAAAAAAAAAACUUGAAGGAUAAAGGGCUACCAUCUUGCUAGCUUGCAGGCGAUUAAUUCAAUAUUUCACUCAAGAAAAAUUCUAAGUUCAUGGUUUUAUCACAUUGUCAUGAGAAUGGAAUCAUUACAUCAAUAGAAAAUCAAGCCAGUCAUGAGUAGAUUGCCAAUGACACAUUUAUAUGUGGAAGUGCCACUAUCCCCAACCUAUAUUCCAAUGGUGCCACAUUAAAUAUAGUAAAUCAGUAGUAAAUAAGGCUGAAUUUGAGUCUUAAUCCCAAAUAACUGUGGCAACAAAAAAAUACAGUAAUUACAUUACAAAAGUUAAAAGAAGGGAGUUGUUGAUAUAGCAAUGAUUUUAUAUAAAUCAAGUGAUUAAGAUUUUAAAAAAUUUACUCUUUAAUGUGAAAAACGACAAAACGAAUUAUCACCUAUUUCUUUUAUUUGGAUUUUUCUUUCUUUCUCGUUCUCCGAGAUAGCUACCUGAGGCAUAAGUGACCGUGAGUUAAGUCAUCUUCGUUUCCCUUUCUCUCUUGCAAGAAUUGGAGCAUCCCGGAAAUUAAAAAGGGUCAAUUACAUUUACCUCCCAUAAAGUUAUAGAAAAUUACAAAUCAAACUCUUACGUUUGAACAAAAUAUAAAAAAUUGACAGGUGUCGAACCUGUGUAAUAAUAAAAACCUACUCAAUAAAAAUAUAAAUUUUGUAUAUAGCAGUGAGUAGGGUUGAAUCCACAGGGAUUGGGGAUAAUUUGUUUCUUCUAGAGUUCAGAGCAUGGGGGAUUUUUGGAAAAUAUAAAUAAAUAAUUAACUAAAUCAAAGCAACACACGAAAAUAAAUAUGAAUGAACAAUAAUAUAUACGACUCUAACCAAAGGUGCAACUUUUCAGAUAUGGUCCAUUCAACUGAUCAUCGAUGCAAAAUAAUUCAAUUAUUCAUUCAUAGAUUGGUUAUAGUUGCUAUACACACAAUAAACAACCAACUUUUCCUCACUUUUUCAAUAGUCAAGGUACGACGGUUAACUAUUUCCCUAACAAAGGAAUAACCCUACGUACGACCGUAGGAUUUAAUUCCUCGAUUACAUUAAGAAUUAGAAAAACUCAACCCUAAUCAACAAACACGUUACGAGAGUUUGUUUAAAUUAGAUCAUACGUUUCCCUAGCAUAGGACCAAUCACACUAGUUACCACUGGUAUUAACCAAUUAAACAAUUAUGGAUUUAACAGGUUAAUUUGACAGUAGAUUAUUAGGUUAAUUCGAAUAUCGGGUCCUUGACAUUCAAAUAACACAACAAUCAUACGAAGUUAAAUCAGAAAACAUACAAAUACCAGUGAAUAAAAGAAAUAAGUACAAUAAUUUGAUCUUACAGAUGUUUGGAACCGAGUCUUCAAAUUGACAUUCGACUAGAAAAUGGAGAUUUAGUUACGCAUCCUCAAGGGAAAUCCACUGCACUCCAUUGAUAACAAUUGGUUUUUUUUUUCUCUAAAAACUAAUGAAAGAAGACCAAGAAGAAAGACAAGUGACAGCCGUGAUACUUCAAAGAAUCCCUACCGAAAUUGUUGCUGGCCAACUCCUAAUCAAACGGGAAUCCGACUUUUUCUUUCCCUUUUUGUUUCCUACUUAACAUCAACUACUAAUAAUAAGAUAUAUUCCCCAAAAUAGAUAAAGGAAACUAUUAAAGAUAAUUUUCAAAAUUUCUUAAGACUAAUAAUGAAAAUUAAAGUUAUCAAAAUCUUCCUCCAAAGAUGUCCAUAUUUGACUCGGGCUUGGAAACUGACCCCGAACGUGCGAAUCCCAAAUUAACUGGAAAACUGCCACUUAAUCACGUUUUGUUCUUUUUCCUACAAUUAGCACCAUUAAUCACAUAUAGGUAGAAUCCAUCAAUUAAAACAAUAUUUGGUUACAAUUAAGAGGAAAAUAAUUAUAAAUUAAAUAACAAUUUUGUACCCUGUUAAAAAGCGCCAUCGAACGCUUAAGUUUGUAAUGCAUGAUCCCUCACAUUAGUCAACUAAUGGCAACGUUCCAAAUUCAUAAAAGUCAGCAUUAACUUUGUACCUUGUCCCUAGACUACCUAAAAUUCCAUUACUGUAAGUGUAUAGGUCGUAUACAAGUAUAGAAAAGAUUUUGAGUGUUGAUCCCACACAGAAGAUUAAUUAACGUAUCAAUAUUUAUUGAACUACUCUACUAUUUAGACUAUUGUCAGUGCAAGCAAAUAAAUAUAUACUACAUAUAAUAAACGAAAUGAAAAUCACAAGCUAAAGCUCCUAGGGAUUAGGUUUUCUCACUACCUUUUCUAGUUAAAUAAUCCGAUUAAUUGAGUUUUAUCUUUUUAACUAAAUAAUGGUGUAAUUUUUUAAUAUAUGUGAUACCCACUUUCGCAAUUAUAUUUUCUAUACCCAUAAUUAAUCUAUGUUUACUUUCAUGGUUAUGAAACUAGUUAUAAACUCAAUAGGGCUCGUGAAAUUACAUGGUUAAAAUCAUAAAAAUAUACCUCUAAUUUUGUGAGUCUACAAAAGUGUAUCAAAUCUGGCUACGACUAGAUCUUUCCUAGGCAACUAGAUCUUGUCAUAGGGGGAGGGAGAGAGGGGUAGUGAUGGGAGAGAGGGGAGAGGAGGGGGAAUGAGAGGGGAAGAGGAAGGAAGGGGAAAUGGGAAAGUGAGGAGGGGAUGAGAGAAAAUAAAGGGGUGGUGGCUGGUGGCGCAAGAGGAAGGUGGCAAUGGAGGAAGAAAGAAGAAAAAAUAAGGGGCUGGCGUCUGCGUGGCAAUGGAGGAGGAAGGAAGAAAAAAAAGAAAAGGAAAAAGGAAAAGGAAAAGAAAUUGAAAAAAUUAACAAAAGAUUAGUUACCGAUACCACUAUAGGUCAAAAAGUGUUAUUCCAUUCUAGUAUGAAUCACAAUGGGGAGUUAUGUGGACAUUUUUUAAUAAUAGAAGAGUUUCGGAGGAAACCACUGAAAAUGGGAAACCACAUAUAGUGACUAGUGGGAGGACCACUGAAGCUUAAAGUUUUUGUGGCGACUUGGCUAUUGAAUUUAUUGGAUUUUACCUCUAAAAAAAAUGAGUACAAAUAACAUUUCUAAAAAAAAAAAAAUCCAAAUUCCAAGCUAAAAAAUGGCGCUCCACAAUGAACUCCACCAUACUAGCGUCAAAACCUCAUAACCAUAUAGAUAAAGAGGGAACCCCACUGCCAUAUAGGAUGGUCGUCCGCCCAUGUGCGGCAUGGGGAUUGGUUGGUGGUGAUGAUGUGGGACUUCAGGCCAGAUACUUUUUCUCAUCCUUUUUUUUUGCAUGGACCUUAAUUCUUUUUUCCUCAAAAAUAGAUAUGCUGAUGCCAUCAUUGUUUCUUUUCCCGUUAGUCGUUAGUCAUUAGUCAUUAGUCAUUAGUCAAUUUUUGUCAGAGUUACUUCUUGGUCAAUGGUGAAAUUACGCUUUUCCCCUGAAGGCUUUAUUUUUUUUACUUCUUUUGCUGCUUUUGUAUUUGUUGGUAAUACUCUGUGCGUGUGUGUCCAUCUUUGUCAAAUGCCUUCUACCGCCAAAUUUUCAUUGUCCGAGAACAAUUGUUUUGAAGGCUUGCUUUCACUCUUAACAAUCUGACAGCUCAUCUUUGUACGGCCAUGGUAGGAUAUCUCGUAACCAUUGGACAAAUCCUUCGGUUUUCUAUUGGACGUUUCUUCUUUUUGGGUUCCGUUUAGGUUGUUUCUCUUCAUUCCACCUUCUGCUCGCUGGUUUUUGCUAUCACUUGUUUGCUGUGUUUAUGGUGAGUGUGCUCUGUCCUCGUUCUUGCAGCUCUGUUUGUCUUAUAUUCUUUUUGUUUUGUAUCUUGUCCUGUUUUUUUGCUUUUAGGUGGUUACUGUUGCAUUUCCAUCUUCCAUAAACACAGGUACAGGUUCUUGCUCUUUUUUCUAUUUUUUAUGGUGAGGAAAGGUAGUGUUGCCUGUGUUGAUGUUGUGCAUGUUUAUGUUUCUUUUACUUCCGCAGGUUUUCUGCCUUUUCUCUCGUUUUUAAACUCUUUUCACCUAUUUCUUAGUCAUUUCCAUCAUUCCAACCUUGCCUUGUGCCUUCUGUUUUUGUUCGUUUGUCAAUUUUCUUUAACCUUCUUUCUUUUUGCACUUUAUUUGUUUGAUGUAAUGCUUGUUCGUGCCAUUUGUAGCCUGUUUUCCCUUUUUUUACCUUCUUUUCCAUGUUCUUCUUUCUUGCUUCUGUUGUUCUGUGCAUGCUAAAGGUUUGCUUGUUUUUUUGGAUCCUAUAGUGGUUGGUUGCGCCGGUCUUAUUUCCCUUUGUCUUCCUUUUGCUUUGGAGAGGUGUGCUUCCAGUCGAUGCUUAUUUGAACUAGUUCAGGUUUUUAAACUAUUUUGAACUCCUAUUUUUUCCUUUAAAUAGAUUUGUUCUGCCUUGUCCUUUUUCGUGCUGUUCUGCAUUCUUUUAUUGUUGUCUUGCUGUGUUGGAACUUCUUCUUGGAAAAAUUGCUCUAGCCUGUGUUGUAUAGCUUUGUUGCGUCUUUUAGGUCAGUUACUGUUUAAUUGUAUCUAUUCCGUUUUUUCUCCUGAUUGUCUUGUGCUUUGGAUAUUGUUGAGUCAUUUUGUUUUUGGUUGUUGGUCUUAGUUUAUGUUCUUGAGUCUUCCAAUCUAAGAACAUGGAUAAGAAUGCAAGGCAUCGUAAACGCUAUGCGGAAAUGCCAGAGCAUGAAAAGGCCGAUCUUUUGCGCCAUCGUCGUGAUGCUAAUGCUGCAAAGAAAAAAAGGCUUUCAGUUCCUGAUAUUGGUCAUGAAAAUGGAUCGCCUCCUAAUGAGGAAGAGAGUAGCCGACAUAUUGGUCAAACCUGUCUUGGUUGUGUUAUUCCUAGUGGUCCUUCUCGACAUGGCGAUGGUAGAGAUUAUGGCCAGUCAAUUCGAACUUUGCCGGACUCUCUUAGUAAUCUAGGUAUUACUUCGAGUAAUGGGUGGGACACUGGGGAUGUUCAUCAAUCAAAUUGGCAUUUUAAUGCUGAAUUUACUGCAUUAGAUCCUCAGAAUCAAACGCUCUUCUGUCUUGGACUGCAUCGUCUAUUUCUGUCUUCUUUUCCUAGUGGUACGGGUUGAAUUUUUUCUGCUUGUGUACAUUGUGCAACGAGGGCAGCAAUUAAAGAAGCCAGAAAACAGCUAAAUGCUUGAAGCAGACUUAAGGGACCUGAUCCAGCAUUCGAGUUGGAUGUCCCAGCUAUUAUGCCUAUUGUGAGAAUGCUUGUGGCUUGGAUAAUGUUGAAAGGUACUUGGAAAGCUGGCUUCAUUGAUUUGAUCAUCCACAGGCAAUUAAUCUCUGUAUAUAAGCUAUAACAAUCAUAGGUAUAGUUGUGUAUGGAAUUACACAUGUUGUUACUCUCCUUGAAUGAUAAUUAUUCAUCAUAAAGAAUGAUAAUAAGGUCUCUUGUUUGAUCAAAUAUCACUACCUUCUUAUAGUGUCAAAUUUUCCUAUGUUCUUGAUCUUGUUAUUCUCUAUAUUUUAAGUUGUUUCUUGGUUCAAACUCUAAGCCUGUUCCUUGGUAAAUGACUAUUCUAUAGUGCACUUCUGGAGGGGAAAAGAAAGAAAGGAAAAAAAAAAGGUUUGAAGGAUGAUGAGCUACCAUUUCAUUUUAUCAUUUAAUCAUUUUAUCAUACGAUCAUGGGAAUGAAAUUAUUACAUCAAUAGAAAAUUAAGGCACUCAUGAGUGGAUUGCCAAUGACACAAUUAUGGAAGCACCAGUAUCCCCACCCUAUAUUCCAAUGGUAGUACAUCAAAUGUAGUAAAUCACAAGUAAAUAAAGCUGAACUUGAAUUACCAUCUUCAUUAACUCCAUUGGGGGUUCCUGGCAAUGGCUUUCUACAUUAGUUUGCCGGCGAUUAAUUCAAUAGUUCACUCAAGAAAAAUUCUGAAUUCAUGGCUUUGUCAUUCGGUCAUGAGAAUGGAAUAUUUCAUCGAGCUUAAAGAAUUCAUUUGCCUCAGGAUGGGCCUGCCUAGAGAUCAUUAUGGCAUGUAGUCAAGACUAGAGGCGGCAAUUUGGAUCAAAAUCCAUUUAUCCAUCCAUUUGACCCUUAAUUAAAUGGAUUUGGAUUGCCGAUUUCCAGUGGUGGCUUUAAAUGGUUUGACCACUUAAAUUCACUUAACUUAAUGGUUUUAAAUGGAUUAUCCAUAUAAACCAUAUAAAACCAAUUACUUAAAAAAAACGUCAAACCCUCUAACUCUGAAGAUCCAAACCAACAAGUUCUGAAGUUUCUCACCUCCUUAGUCCUUUCGAGAUUCAAACAAGGGAAAGCCACAGAGACAAAAAUGAGGUGAGAGAAUGAGACUGUUUAGACUAUCAGAGAUUAAUCGAAGUGAAUACCCAUUCAGAAUUGAAGCAAUGUCCUUGAAGGCAUCAUUUUCUUCGAUAUAAAAUUAUAAAUCGAUUCCUCAGCCAAUAAAGCCAAUUGUGGAUAUUCUUCCUCCACAAGCCCCUUAAGACAAUAAAGCCAGUGCUUUUAAUUGUUGUUCUUCUUCCAAUCUCCGCUCAUGGACCGGUGAUCGUGACUCUUCUUAUCUCUAAGCCGUUUAAUCCCACCUCCAUCUGCAUCGUAUUUGAAUAUUCCAUAAUACCCCAGUAAUGAUGCCCUAAUUUCUCCUUUUUUUUCUAAAUUUUUGGUAACUGGUAAGAUGAAGCCCUAAAUUGUCUAAGCGACGUUCUAUUUAAUUCUUCAAUUAGAGCACUUGAUUUAGCCAGAGUUUUGAGAUGCUGGUUAUUAGUAUACCAUAAACGAAAGCAACCCCUAGUUUUUUAUGAUGUUAAAGGUAGUAUGGAAAUAUUGGCCAAUGGGUCGACAUGUAUGAAGAUGUACGACCCGGACAUUCUACAACUAGUGCGAGAUUGUAGAAUUUUGUUAAGAUUUGAGGAUUAGAUACUUUGCGAGCUUUAAUCCAUUUUCUUCAGCAAACGGAGAAGAAGACAGAUAAGAAAUAGAAAGAAGAAAACAGAAAUGGAAAAUGAACCAAAAAGAUAAAGGAAGGAAUUUCCUAUUUGAUAGUUAAAUGGAUAAUUGGAUAUCCAUCAUCCAUUUGGAUCCAAUCCACAUACAAUCAUUUACUAAAUGGAUUUAAGUGGAUUAGACCAUUUAAUCCAUAAUCCAUUUAUGUGAAACCGAUUAUAAUCCAUAUAUCCAUUUUGACACCUCUAGUCAGGACAUAUCUCAAUCGAAAAACUGACAUGAUAAUGAUUGGAGGAAAACAUCCCAUGAAAAUCACUUACGAUGUCAGAUUCAAAUCAAAUGGAAAGGUCACAGCCUUGCACCUUCACAUACUAAUUAAUGCUGAACUCUCCGCAGAAUUUAGUCCCAACAUGCCGUUAACCGUAAUUAGUACCCUUAAAAAGUAUAAUUGGGGUGCUUUGUCAUUUGAUAUUAAAGUUUGUAAGACAAACCAUUCUAGCAAAUCUGUAAUGAGAGGUCCUGGAGAGGUUCAAGGAUCUUAUAUUGCUGAAGCUAUAAUAGAAGAAAUUGCAUCUGUGCUUUUGAUGGAGGUAGAUUCUGUCAGAAACAUAAACCUUCACACAUUUGAAAGCCUUAAUGUGUUCUAUGGGAAGGCUGCAGGUGAAGCAGUUGAGUAUACGUUGACUGACACGUGGAAUAAGUUGGGUGUAUCUUCAUGCUUUGUCCAAAGGAAAGAAAUGAUAGAGCAGUUUAAUCAGGUCAACAAAUGGAGAAAAAGAGGCAUUUCACGGGUCCCAAUUGUUUAUGAAGUGAUGGUAAGACCAACCCCUGGCAAAGUUAGCCUACUUUGGGAUGGAACUAUUGUUGUAGAAGUAGGAGGAAUAGAAUUAGGCCAGAGGCUCUAGACUAGGGUAAGACAGAUAACUGCGUAUGCUCUCAGUUCAAUUGGAUGUAACGGGAUUGAAAACCUAGUGGAAAAGGUACGGGUUAUACAGUCAGACACUUU
rnacentral:lncRNA from 1 species